rnacentral:lncRNA from 1 species
UCUCGGGCAAGUAACAUACCGAAGGACAAAGGGAAUGAUAUACGGGAUUAUAUGGAUCCUUGGCAUAGAGGUUCAACCGAUAAGAUCUUGGUAGAAUAUGUAGGAUCCAAUAUGGACAUCCAGGUCCUGUUGUUGGAUAUUGACAGGGGAGUCUCUCGGGUCAUGUUUGCAUAGUUCUCGAACCCGCAGGGUCUGCACACUUAAGGUUCGGUGACGUUUUGGUAUAGUUGAGUUAUAGGUGUUGGUGACCAAAGGUUGUUCGGAGUCCCGGAUGAGAUCACGGACGUCACGAGGGUUUCCAGAAUGGUCCUAAAAUGAAGAUUCCUAUAUAGGAUUGUUUCAUUUGGCCUUCGGAAAGAUUUCGUCCAUUACCGGCAAUGUACCGGGAGUGAUGAAUGGGUUCCGGGUUUUUACCGGGAGGGGCCCACCCACCCGGAAGUGAACCUAUUAGCCCAAGGGUGGUGCACCAGCCCUUAGUGAGGCGGUGAGGCCAACCCAAGUGGGCUAUUUUGGCCAAGUGGAAAAAUCAAGGAGAAAGAAAAAAAGGAAAAAAGAGGACGUGGGAAGGAAGGAAGGGACUCCUCCCUCCAAACCAACUUGGAGGAGGAUCCCUCCUCCCUUCGGACGGUGCUCCAAGGGAAAGCCCCACCCCUUGGCUCAUCCUAUAUAUACUUGAGGUUUAGGGUUUUUUGCGACACAACUUUGCCACGUGCAACCCUAAACCUCUACUUCGUAGUUCUUCCUCUAGAUCAGUUUUCUACGGAGCUCUGGCGGAGCCCUGCAGGAAUAGAUCGUCACCAUCACCGGCGUGCCGUCACGCUACCGGAGAACUCAUCUACUUCCCCGAAUCUCUUGCUGGAUCAAGAAGGCGGAGAUCAUCAUCGAGUUGUACGUGUGCUGAACGCGGAGGUGUCGUCCUUUCAGCGCUAGAUUGGAACGAAUCGUGGGACGAUGGUGAUUUGAAUCACGAAGCUGUUCCACUACAUCAACUGUGUUUCUUAACGCUUCCCGCUUAGCGAUCUACAAGGGUAUGUGGAUCUGAUCUCCCUCUCGUAGAUGAACAUCACCAUGAUAGGUCUUCGUGUGCGUAGGCAAAUUUUUGUUUCCCAUGCAACGUUCCCCAACAAUUACAUGAGUGUGCACUCGUAUAGACUGUAUCGGGUCACGAAUGCCAUCUUAGGUAUGUCCUCGGCUCGGAUCUUCAGUUGGUAAUAUCCAGAUGUGAGGUCGAUCUUGGAAAAUACCUUGGCGCCACUUAACUGGUCAAAUAGAUCUUCAAUCUUGGGGAGUGGGUACUUGUUCUUGAUCGUGACUUCAUUGAGGGAACGGUAAUCAACGCAGAGUCUGAUAGUCCCAUCCUUCUUGGACACAAACAGAAUAGGUGAUCCCCAAGGUGAUGCACUUGGACAGAUGAAUCCCUUCCUGAGUUGCUCAUCCAACUGCUUCUUCAACUCUGCUAGCUCUUCGGAUCCCAUCCUAUAAGGCUUCUUACAGAUAGGCAUUGAUCUGUGCAUGAGCUCAAUGAUGAACUCGAUGUCUCGGUCAGGAGGCAUCCCAGGCAGCUCAUCAGGAAAGACGUCCGGGUACCCACAGACUAUUGGUACUCGGUCCAACUCUUCUUCCGAUAGGCAAUUGACCUGAGGAACUUGAGUGGAGGUAGGCCUAGGGACAUACUUGACUUCAACCCCUUGGUCACUUGUCAUGGUAAUUGCCCUUUUGGUGCAGUCUAGUAUGCUUUGGUGCCUGGCCAACCAAUCCAUACCAAGGAUCAUGUCUAAGCCUUGCGACUUAAUGACGAUGAGAUCUGUUAUGGAGCUUAUCCCAUUAAUGUUGAUCCCGACUCCUCUACAUCCUAGGUUUGUCCUUAGCACUGCUCCCGGGGUAUGAACUGCCAUUUGUUCAUUAAGGAGGGUAGGCUUCAAACCACACUUUUUCGCAAACUUUUGAGUGACGAAAGAAUGCGAAGCACCACAAUCAAACAAUAUUGUUGCUGGGGUGAAGUUGACGAGGAAUGUACCCAGAAUGCAGUCUGGGUCUUCCUGGGCUUCCUCCGCGGAGAUGUGAUUCACGUGUCCCCUGCUGUGAUACUGCUGGUUGCGGGGAGCUUGGUUCCUCCCUGGCGCUCCAUGACCUUGUCCUUGAUUGGGCGCAUUGGGGCGCUGUGCAUCGGGCUUCUUGUAAGGGCACUGCCUGGAGUAGUACCUAGUCUGACCACAUCCAAAGCAGGUAACCUGCCCUGGAACAUUGGGCUUGACUCCACUGCUGUUGGGCGGAUUGAUCACUCCCUUGGGGUUGGCAUGCUGCUGGGGCUGGUAAUUAUGGCGGAACGUUGGUGCCUUAUACUGCUACUGCUGAUAGCUGGGUUUUGUUGGGGCGGAUUGCCAGGGACGUGCCUUCUGGUUACUGGAACCACCAUUACACAUCAGCUUACACUUGCGGGUGUCAUCCGUCGCACGACGCUUAUCCUCCAGCAUGAGGGCCUUGUCUACCAGAUCGCAAAAGGUCCGGCAUUCACAAACAACCAGCUGAUACUAAAGCGACUACUGAAGUCCUUCCAUGAAGCGUUCCAUCAUCGUAGCUUCAGUGUUGAUGUCUUCUGGUGCAUACCUUGACAAAAGGUUAAAUUUCUGCAGGUACUCCUUGACGGUUCCACUGCCUUGCCUCAGAGCUUGGAAUUCCCGCUUCUUAACGGUCAUCAUUCCAAGGGGAUGUGAGCGGCGCGGAAUCCUUCCUUGAAGUCAGUCCAAGAGAUAGCAUGUCCUGCCCUCAUGAUCUGGAACCCGUCCCACCAAGCCCUGGCCGUGCCUCCGAUACAGUGAGAAGCAUAAAGGACUUUCUCGCGGUCAUCGGUGCAUUUGACCAGCGCGAGGAGGUCUUGGAUAAUGCGGAUCCAUUCAUCGGCAUCCAACGGUUCAGUUGUCUCCGUGAAUAUGGGAGGCGUAGUCCUCGUAAACUCAGACAGAGCGAAGCGACUAUUGCCAUUUCCAUUCUGCAGCGGAUUGUUCACUAAGACCUGAGCCAACUGUUCGAUGGCGGCAUUGUUGGCUUGACAUUCCUCUCGGAGAGCCUCGAGGAACUGAGCCACGGUCAUGCUCUCUAGAGGAGGCGGUGGCGGGGGAAUGUUGCCUUGCUGCUGCUCGGGGUGUUCUCCAGCUUGGGCAGACCCACCGGUUCCUGGCUACUGGCUAGAAGUGCCAGUGACGGGGUUGCUGAAGGUGUUGGGGCGAGUAGAAAUCACCAUCCUAUUUGGGAGCAGACAGGUCCAUAUUCUGAAGUGGUCGGGGAAUCAUAAGGGAUGAUGCUCCUAGAUAAGGGGGUCCAGUACUUUGCAAGUGGGUGAGACAAAAAGGUUUGAGGAAACUAAUGCAAUUACUUAAUUAAAACAAGUGAUGUAGUCGAUUACAAGCUGCCUAAGACAGAAAUGCGGCUUGCAUCAAAACAUGAACAGGAAAUACACUACACUCAUGGUUCUCAUGAACCGAUACAUGGACUCGACUUCGUAGGGGAGACUCCUAACUUGCCUAAGACGUUCCUCUAAGCAACAGACUGCUCGGUCUCGUAUGCAGGCUCCACAUGGUCUUCGUCUUCAUCCUCGUUGGUGUCUUCUUCCUUCGGAGCUGUGGGGGAAGGAAGAGGUCCAUCACGGCGUCGCUUUGUUGGUGAAGUGAUGAGGAGCUCCGUGUAUUCUUCUGCGGUCAGACGGCGACUCUGUAUAGGAGUGGUCUGGAGCGGUGGUAUUCCUCCUCGGAAGGCAAUAGUAGGCUGCCCUCUGGGUGCUCCUUCCUUUUUGACCUUGCGGGUCUUCAUAUUUUCCAAGCGAAUUAGGUCCUUGACUUGGUGUAGUUCUUGGCGAAGCGUCACGGAUUCCUUGAUGAUAAGGUGAGUCAAGGUGUCGGCGGAGAGGUUGUAGUAGGUUUGAAACCUGAGUGGCGUCCCGUCUUCCGGGGAUGGGUUGAGUGUUCACCUCCCGUCAAUCCCGUCCUUAACAAAAGGCAGGUGACGAGUCGAUGGCUCAUUGGCUAUCUCAGGAAGGAUAUCACGGAGAUGCACGAGCGCCUCUUGUGUUGUUGUCUCCACUACCAACAUUAGAUUCUCCAUUUGUGGUCCUUCAAAGAACCAACUAGUUGGGGAGUCGUUUGCCUUCACUAUCACGUCCACGUGAUAUUCCUUUGUGUCGGCAUUGACCCAGUGCUUGUGGUAGAGAAAAAUGGGCGUGCGGCGUACUUGACACUUCUCCAGGCUGUCUCCCAAAAGUAGGGGAAAGCCAGUUUCCAGAAGAAUCUCAGGUACGAUGGCCAUCUACAAGGUUUUUAGGAGAGGGCUAGAAAUUUGUGGGUGGUAUGGAAUGGUAGUAGGGUGUAGAAAAUCUCAAGUGUAAGGGCUGAGUGUGCUAAUCGCCUCGACUAUCGUCCACGCUACCUAAAGCUUCCUACAAUCAUGAUGGCUCUGAUACCAGCUCUGUGGGGACCCCGACUUACGAGUCGAGAUUGUCGAAUGAUCGUGCUCAGUGAUCCGAGAGAUCAAUGCUUACCGAACACACAGAUACUGAAUAAUAAGAGUCUUACAUCCAACAUACCAUUUGAUACAACAACUGACCAUCAUGGUCAAGUCUCAAAUAGAUAGGGCAUGUAAGGCCAAUCACACUGAUACAACUACUAGCGUAAUCUUGGUAGUAAAUGGGAGCCCAUGACAUCAGCCUUCACCAAUAGACAUUCUGACUCGGAAGCGUCCUAGUUCGCAUGUCCGUCUCCGAUGAUGAAUUCCUCUCCAAACUUGGUUCUUCCAUGGCUGGUCAAUAACAUAACCAGUGUCAAGCCAGUGAGUACUUUGAAUGUACUCGCAAACAGCCCAUGAUGUGGAUAUGCAAUUGGUACCAUAAUGAAGUACCAAUUGGAUAUUUAAAUUUGAUUGAAUAUUUAAAUUUACAAAAAAUCAUUUAGAAUCAGAAACAAAAUAAAAAUAAAAAGGGGCUAACCCCUGGCCUGGCUCGGCGAGUGGCAUAGGGGAUCGCAACAGUUUUCGAGGGUAGAGUAUUCAACCCAAAUUUACUGAUUCGACACAAGGGGAAGCCAAAGAAUAUUCUCAAGUAUUAGCAGUUGAGUUGUCAAUUCAACCACACCUGAAAGACUUAGUAUCUGUAGAAAAGUAUCAGUAGCAAACUAGUGUGAUAGCAACAGUAGCAAUGGUAACAGUAGCAGCAACGACAUCAAUAGCGACAUAGUAACAGUAUCAGCAGUGACAGCAGUAGCGGCAAAGUAACGUACCAAGGACCAGUAGGAAAAAUUCGUAGGCAUUGGAUCGGUGAUGGAUGAUUAUGCCGGAUGUUAUUCAUCAUGCAACAGUUAUAACACGGAGAGAUAUGUAACUAGCUCCAGUUCAUCAAUGUAAUGUAGGCAUGUAUUCCGUAUGUAGUCAUACGUGCUUAGGGAAAAGAACUUGCAUGACAUCUAUUGUCCAUCCCUCCCGUGGCAGCGGGGUCCUAAUGGAAACUACGGGAUAUUAAGGUUCUCCUUUUAAUAAAGAACCGAACCAACGCAUUAACACUUGGUGAAUACAUGAACUCCUCAUACUAUGGUCAUCUCCGGGAGUGGUUCCGGCUAUUGUCACUCUGGGGUUGUCGGGUCAUAACACAUAGUAGGUGACUACAACUUGCAAGAUAGGAUCAAGAACACACAUAUAUUGGUGACAACAUAAUAGGUUCAGAUCUGAAAUCAUGGCACUCGGGCCCUAGUGACAAGCAUUAAGCAUGGCAAAGUAGUAGCAACAUCAAUCUCAGAACAUAGUGGAUACUAGGGAUCAAUCCCCGUCAAAACUAACUCGAUUACAUGAUAGAUCUCAUCCAACCCAUCACCGUCCAGCAAGCCUACAAUGAGAUUACUCACGAACGGUGAAGAGCAUCAUGGAAUUGGCGAUGAAGGAAGGUUGGUGAUGACGAUGGGGACGAUCUCCCCUCUCCGGAGCCCAGAACGGACUCCGGAUCAGCCCUCCAGAGGAAGAACAGGAGGUGGCGGCGCCUCCGUAUCGUAAAACGCGAGGAACUCUUCUCCUUGAUAUUGUUUCCGGAUGAAAGGGACUAAAUAGAGCUGGGAUUGGAGGCGGUGGAGCAACGUGGGCCCCACAAGCCUGCCAGGCGCGGCCAGGGGCCGCGCCUGGUGGGCUUCUGGGCUCUCAGCUCCACCCCUCCGGUUGAUUCUUGCGCCAGUAUUUUUUAUAUAUUCCACAAAAAAUCCCCGUAAAUUGCCAAGUCAUUCCAAGAACUUUUAUUUCUGCGCAAAAACAACACCAUGGCAAUUCUGCUGAAAACAGCGUUAGUCCGGGUUAGUUCCAUUCAAAUCAUGCAAAUUAGAGUCCAAAACAAGGGCAAAAGAGUUUGGAAAAGUAGAUACGACGGAGACGUAUCAACUCCCCCAAGCUUAAAACCUUGCUUGUCCUCAAGCAAUUCAGUUGACAAACUGAAAGAGACAAAAGAAAAACUUUUACGAACUCUGUUUGAUCUUGUUGUUGCAACUAUGUCUAACUCAUAUCCAGAUUUUCAGCAAGAUCACAAGCUAACCACAUAAGAAAAUGACAUCUAGGUCUCAUGGUAAACUCAUAUCAAUGGCAUAAUCAACUAGCGAGCAAUAAUGACAAGUUUCAAACGUCAACACUUCAAUCAAAACAAUCAUGAAGCAGUACGAACAAAUGGUAUCUCGCUAGCUCUUUCUGAGACCGCAAAACAUAAGUGCAGAGCACCUUCAAAGACCAAGGGCUGACUAAACAUUGUAAUUCAUGGCAAAGAAGAUCCAGUCACAGUCAUACUCAACAUCAGUCAAAAGCAAAGAAUAAAAAUGACAGAGGUGCUCUCUAAUUGGUGCUUUUAUAAGAAGAGGAUGACUCAACAGGAACAUAAAUAGAUAGGCCCUUCACAGAAGGAAGCAUUGAUUUGAAGUGGUGCCAGAGCUCAAGCUUUUAAAACAGAGAUAAUAGUUUUGGGUGGCAUGCUUUCAUUGUCAACACAAUGACCAAGAGUUUUCACCAUCUUCCAUGCUACACAUGCUAUAGGCGGUUCUCAAACAGAAAAGUAAAGUUUUGACUCCCCCACCACCGAUCAAUCACACUCCACGACUAGCCGAAUACUCGGGUGUCGUCCAUACCAACAUCAAUCCAGGGGGAGUUUUGUUUGCAAUUAUAUUUUGGAUUUGAGCAUGGAACUGGGCAUUCCAAUUAUCGGCCCCUUUCUCAUGAAUGAUAGUGAAUAAACACAUAUCGAGGAUAACACGCCUAGCAUGGAAGAUACUGAUAGCCCCCUGUCACCACAUGAGCGGUUCGGGCAGGCAAAACAGAUUAUUUCUUGAAGGUUUAGAGAGUGGCACAUGCAAAUUUACUAGGAACGGCAGGUAGAUACCGCAUAUAGGUAGGUAUGGUGGACUCAUAUGGAACAACUUUGGGUUUAUGGAAGUGGAUGCACAAGCAGUAUUCCCGCUUAGUACAAGUGAAGCUAGCAAAAGACUGGGAAGCGGCCAACUAGAGAGCGACAACAGUCAUCAAAAUGCAUUGAGAUUAACCAACAUUGAGUGCAAGCAUGAGUAGGACAUAAAUCACCAUGAACAUGAAUAUCACAGAGGCUAUGUUGAUUUUGUUUCAACUACAUGCAUGAACAUGUGCCAUGUCAGGCCACUUGAAUCAUUCAAAGGAGGAUACCAUCCUAUCAUACUACAUCAUAGUCAUCUCAAGAUUCAUGUUGGCAUCCAAGACAAACCAUUAUAAGCUCCUAGCUAAUUAAGCAUGGCAUCAAAAACUAUGAUCUCUAAGUUUUCAUUGCAAACAUGUUUCUCUCACAACAAAGCUGAAUCUGGAACGAUGAGCUAGUCAUAUUUACAAAAACAAAAUAGAUCGAGUUCAUACCAGCUUUUCCAGGCUCAAUCACUUCAUCAUAUAUCGUCAUUAUUGCCUUUCACUUGCACGACCGAUCGAUGUGAACAAUAAUAAGAGUGCUCGUGCAUUGGACUAAGCUGGAAUCUGCAAGCAAACACAAAGGAGAAGACAAACUAAUAUGGCUCUUUGACACAUAAACAUAUAUGCAUGCGAGAGCCACUAAAAAUUGUAACCAUGGUCUUCUACCUUGACCCAAAGAAAAAGAAAACUAUUUACAAGGGAAAGCUUCCAACAAGCAAAACAAGAACUAGAAAAUCUUUUUGGGUUUUUCUCAAACUAGACAAACACAUGAAAAGAAAACGAGAAAAAAGAAAAUAAACUAGCAUGGAUGAUACAGUGGAAAAGUGUGAACACCGACUAACAAAGUGAAAGUGUGAGCAAGAAUAUAAAGUCGGUGAGAAACACGUACUCCCCGAAGCUUAGGCUUUUGGCCUAAGUUGGUCUAUUCCCAACGAGGGAAAUAACCGUCUCCGGGGUACUCCGGAGUGGACUGAGGAUGCCACUGCUGUGUGAGCUCCUCUGGCUCCCACUGAUAAACAGGCAUCUGGUACUCGACUGGUAGCUCGGGCACAGGCACCUGUGGUUGGGCUAUGCCCCAAUAUGCGUAGAUGUCCGAGGGCAUAAUAGUGUACCUGUCUAGAUGAAGAUUGAACAAAGAAGGAGCACGCAAUGUAAUAGUUUCAUGAGUACCCUGACUAAAUACCAGGUUAUGAAUCAUCCUCUUAUUUAUAUCUCUAUCCAGAAAGUCAUGGCGAACCAUGCUAUCAUAAUCUAGAUAUCUCUCAGGAAGAAGAAUCUCUUCUUCCUCGUCAGGUCUAAUAGGUAUCUCAAAAUGUCUAGCAAGACGAGUAGCAUAGAUACCUCCAAAGACAAUGCAUUUAGAACGGUUCGUGUUCAACCGUUGAGCUACUAUAGCGCCCAAGCUAUAAGUUUUAUCAUUACAAAGGGCUUCGCGCAAGACCGCGAGAUCUGGGGAGAUAAGGGCCCCAGCUUUCCCACGGCCAAUCAAACAUUUUCCCAUGAAUAAUGAGAAGUACCGAAGCACGGGAAAAUGUAUGCUAGCAGCUCUAGCGCAAGACACUCCUCUCUCCUCUCCUAUAGCAAUAGUAUCGAUGAAAGCUUCCAAGUCCCGUGGACGAGGUUCAUGAAUAUCCCCAACAUAAGAUAAUUUGCAAACAUUGCAAAAAUCCUGAAGUGACAUGCGCUGGGGGAUAUCAUAUAACUUGAACUCAACCAUAGGAGGAUUCUUCCUUGGAUAGAAGUUAAAGCUUUGCACAAAAAUAUUAGUGAGGAGGAGGUAUUGCGGACACUUAUCUUCAACGAAGGCGGUAAGGCAUGUGUUCUCCACCAAGUAGUAAAAGUCCUCAUGAAGUCCGGCGGCGCGUAAGAACACAUCGCUUGGCCACUCGCACGCUUGAACUUCUGCAACUCGAGGGACCGGAUACUUGGGUUUCUUCUUCUCAUUCCCAUCAUCCUUGGGGUCACACCUUGAAGAGACUCUUAAGAACCUCCUCGUCUUUUCCUUUUUCUAUCUCUGAAAAUUUCUGAAAUUUUUAGUGACUCAAAGGAAAAGUGAACAAGGCUCAACAAAACUCAUAGCAAGUACUUUGAUAAGUGCCUAGAAGCCAUAUCACGCAUGAAAACUACUUGCGACCAACUAAAAUUAGCAUGCAAAGCUCAAGAAGAGGGUCACCAAGGCAGCAAAAAUACGCGACGUAUAAGGCACUAGAGCAAAAACUAAUUGGACCAAUGGAGGAGUCACAUACCAAGGAGCAAUUUCCCCAAAAUAGUUUGGUGAAUGGGGCUUUGCACAAGGAGAUCAAAAAUCGCAGCAAGAAGAGCAAGAACACGGGUUUGAGUUACGAAAGGAUUUUUUCUGGAGGUAGGAGAAGGAGAUGGGAGCUAGAAUAAGUGGAGGGGGUGCUCGUGGGCUCCACAAGCCUGGUAGGCGCGGCCAGGGGGGUUGCCCGCCCCUCCAGGGCUUGUGGCCCACUGUGCAGCCCCUGACUAGCUCUCCGUCUUAGUAUUUUUCAAAAAUUCCAGAAAAAAUCAUACUUGAUUUUCACGGCAUUCAGAGAAAAUUUAUUUUUGGGGUACUUUCCUACGGGACGCGAAAACAGAAAACAGGGAAAACUAAACUAAAUCUAUCAUUUUUCUUCUAAGCAACCGAAGGUGAAAGCUUGGAACAGAGGUUUGUGGCUCCUCGAUUCAUCCAUCCCAUGGUCAUCGAAAGAAAUCCGUCAAUGAGGUUGAUCAAGUCUCCUUGACAAACUUUUUCGAAUCGCAAAAGGAAACGGAGAAUUUUCGAAUAGUCACUAGGUUACCUCAAUGGGGAUGUGGAUAUCCCCAACAAGCAAAUCAUACUUCAUCUUGACAGGAGGUAUAGGGCAUUCAAAGCUCCCAAUAAGGAUCGAUGAAGUUUUUUUGAUAGCAUUGAUGCAAUGUACUCGAUACUGUUUCUUCGGAAAGUGCACCGUAUGCUCAUUACCAUUGACAUGGAAAGUGACAUUGCCUUUGCUGCAAUCAAUAAUAGCCCCUGCGGUGUUUAAAAAGGGUCUUCCAAGGAUGACCGCCAUGGCAUCAUCCUCAGGAAUAUCUAGGAUAACAAAGUCCGUCAAGAUAGUAACGUUAGCAACCACAACAGGCACAUCCUCGCAAAUGCCAAUAGGGAAAGCAGUUGAUUUGUCGGCCAUUUGCAGAGAGAUUUCAGUGGGUGUCAACUUAUCCGGUUCAAGUCUAUGAUAAAGAAAGAUAGGCAUAGCACUAACACCGGAUCCAAGGACGCAUAAAGUUGUUCUAACGUAGUUGCCUUUAAUGGAGCAAGGUAUAGUGGGCACUCCGGGAUCACCUAGUUUCUUAGGAGUUCCACCCUUGAAGAUAUAAUUAGCGAGCAUGGUGGAAAUCUCAACCUCAUGUAUCCUCCUCUUUUUAGUCACAAUAUCCUUCAUGUACUCAGCAUACGGAGACAUUUUGAGCAUAUCUGUCAAAGGCACUUGCAGAAAGACAGGUCUAAUCACUUCAACAAAGCGCUCAAAAUCCUAAUCAUCCUUUUUCUUGGAUGGUUUGGGAGGAAACGGCAUGGGUUUCUGAACCCAUGGUUCCCUUUCUUUACCAUGCUUCCUAGCAAUGAAAUCGUUUUUAUCGUAUCUCUUAUUCUUAGGCUGUGGGUUAUCAAGAUCAACAGGUUCAAUCUCCACAUCCUUAUCAUUGCUAGGUUGAGCAUCAACAUGAACAUCACUAUCGAUAUUAUCGUUAGGCUCAUGUUCAUCACCAGAUUGUGUUUCAGCAUUAGAAACAGAGACAUCGUUCGGAUUCUCAGGUGUAGCACCAACAGGGUUGCUAGCGUGCAAGUUCAUAUCAUCUUUCUUCUUCUUCCUAGGAUGACUAGGUGCAUCAAUGCUAACUCCUUGAGAAUCUUUUUCAAUUCUCUUAGGAUGACCCUCGGGAUACAAAGGUUCCUGGGUCAUUCUACCGCCUCUAGUGACGACUCUAACAGAAUUGUCAUUCAACUCAUUGAGCAAGUCAUUUUGAGCCUUAAGUACUUGUUCUACCUGAGUAGUAACCAUAGAGGCAUGUUUACUCAGAAUCUUAAGAUCAUUGACAUUUCUGUCCACACAAGCACUUAAAUGACUAAGCAUACGAGCAUUCUGUUCCAAUUGUCUGCUAACAUAAUCAUUGGAACUUUGUUGUUUGGCAACAAAGUUAUCAAAUUCAUCCAGGCAUAAGCUAGCAGGUUUAUCAAAAGGAAUAUCACUCUCAUUGAAUGUACGAAGAGAAUUUACCUCUACUACCUGUAUCGGGUUAUCAAGACCAUGGAUCUCUUCUAUAGGAGGUAGAUUUUUCACAUCUUGACAUUUAAUGCCUUUCUCUUUCAUAGAUUUCUUAGCUUCUUGCAUAUCUUCAAGACUGAGGAAUAGAAUACCUCUUUUCUUUGGAGUUGGCUUAGGAGGUGGUUCGGGAAUAGUCCAAGCAUUCUCAUUGCACAAGAUAUUAUUCAAUAGGAUCUCAGCUUGUUCCACAGUUCGUUCCCUAAAAACACAACCGGCACAACUAUCUAGGUGGUCAUUAGAAGCAUCGGUUAGUCCAUUAUAGAAGAUCUCAAGUAUUUCAUUCUUCUCAAGAGGGUGAUCGGGCAAAGCAUUCAGUAGCUGGACGAGCCUCCCCCAAGCUUGUGGGAGACACUCUUGUUCAACUUGCGUAAAGUUGUAUAUUUCCUGCAAGGCAGCUUGCUUCUUAUGGGCACGAAAAUAUUUCUCAGAGAAGUAGUAGAUCAUAUCCUGGGGGCUACACACACAACCAGGAGAAAGAGAAGUGAACCAGGUCUUAGCAUCAUCCUUUAGCGAGAAAGGAAACAGCUUAAGGAUAUAGUAGUGGUGGAUCUUUUCCUCACUAGUGAAUAGGGUGGCUAUAUCGUGUAGUUUGGUAAGAUGUGCUACAACCGUUUCAGACUCAUAACCGUGAAAAGGAUCAGAUUCGACCAGAGUGAUUAACUCAGGGUCGAUAGAGAAUUCAUAAUCCUUAUCGGUCACAAAGAUAGGCGAAGUAGCAAACUUCGGGUCAUAUUUCAUCCUAGCGUUCAAAGAUUUUUCUUUCCACUUGUUCGGUAAUUUCUCAACAUCAUAGCUAUCCUUACAAGCAAGAAAGUCCUGAGCUAUCUCUCCCUCCAUAACAUAACCCUCAGGCAUAUCAGGCAAUUCAUAUCUAGGAGAGCUAGUUCUAAUAGGCAAAAUAGCACAUUCUACUUCAAUAGUAUCAGCAGUUUCAGAAGUAUCAUCACAUCUAGCAGCAACUCUAGCAAUUUGUGCAUCAAGGAAUGCACCUAGUGGCAAAGCAGUAUCAAGCAUAGCAUCAUCACAAGCAUCAUGGACAGCAGAAGUAGUAUCAUCAAGCACAGGCGACACAUCAAAAUUUCUAGCAGGAGGUGGUGUUGCAAACAUACUCAUAACUGAAGGCGAAUCAAGUGCAGAGCUAGAUGGCAGUUCCUUACCUGUCCUCGUAGUUGAGGGCAAGACUUUAGUUCUUGGAUCUCUCGGAUUCCUCAUAGUGAUCAGCAGACGUAAAUCCCAAGUGACUAAAAGAAUAGAGCUAUGCUUUCCCAGCAAAGGCGCCAGAAAAUAGUCUUGAUAACCCACCAGUAUAGGGAAUCGCAACAGUUUUCGAGGGUAGAGUAUUCAACCCAAAUUUAUUGAUUCGACACAAGGGGAAGCCAAAGAAUAUUCUCAAGUAUUAGCAGUUGAGCUGUCAAUUCAACCACACCUGAAAGACUUAAUAUCUGCAGAAAAGUAUCAGUAGCAAACUAGUGUGAUAGCAACAGUAGCAACGGUAACGAUAACAGCAGCGACAGCAAUAGCGACAGAGUAACAGUAGCAGCAGUGACAGCAGUAGCGGCAAACUAAUGUAGCAAGGACCAGUAGGAAAAACUCGUAGGCAUUGGAUCGGUGAUGGAUGAUUAUGCCGGAUGUUAUUCAUCAUGCAACACUUAUAACACGGAGAUAUAUGUAACUAGCUCCAGUUCGUCAAUGUAAUGUAGGCAUGUAUUCCGUAUGUAGUCAUAUGUGCUUAGGGAAAAGAACUUGCAUGACAUCUAUUAUCCAUCCCUCCCGUGGCAGCGGUGUCCUAAUGGAAACUACGGGAUAUUAAGGUUCUCCUUUUAAUAAAGAACUGGACCAACACAUUAACACUUGGUGAAUACAUGAACUCCUCAUACUAUGGUCAUCUCCGGGAGUGGUUCCGGUUAUUGUCACUCCGGGGUUGCCGGGUCAUAACACAUAGUAGGUGACUACAACUUGCAAGAUAGGAUCAAGAACACACAUAUAUUGGCGACAACAUAAUAGGUUCAGAUCUAAAAUCAUGGCACUCGGGCCCUAGUGACAAGCAUUAAGCAUGGCAAAGUAGUAGCAACAUCAAUCUUAGAACAUAGUGGAUACUAGGGAUCAAUCCCCGUCAAAACUAACUCGAUUACAUGAUAGAUCUCAUCCAACCCAUCACUGUCCAGCAAGCCUACGAUGAGAUUACUCACGAACGGUGAAGAGCAUCAUGGAAUAGGCGAUGAAGGAAGGUUGGUGAUGACGAUGGCGAUGAUCUCCCCUCUCCGGAGCCUAGAACGGACUCCAGAUCUGCCCUCCAAAGGAAGAACAGGAGGUGGCGGCACCUCUGUAUUGUAAAACGCGAUGAACAUUUCUCCUUGAUUUUUUUCCGGACGAAAGGGACUAAAUAGAGCUGGGAUUGGAGGCGGUGGAGCAACGUGGGCCCCACAAGCCUGCCAUGCGUGGCCAGGGGGGGCGCGCCUGGUGGGAUUGUGGGCUCUCAGCUCCACCCCUCCGGUUGAUUCUUGCGCCAGUAUUUUUUAUAUAUUCCACAAAAAAUCCCCGUAAAUAUCCAGGUCAUUUCGACAACUUUUAAUUCUGCGCAAAAACAACACCAUGGCAAUUCUGCUGAAAACAACGUUAGUCUGGGUUAGUUCCAUUCAAAUCAUGCAAAUUAGAGUCCAAAACAAGGGCAAAAGAGUUUGGAAAAGUAGAUACGACGGAGACGUAUCAGCCAGCCAGCAGCCCAGGCACGCGCGCCGUCAGGUUCAAACAUGAUGCACAAGCCCCUGCGAUCAGCGGCAGAUAGAGGAGAGAGGGGGAGAGACUGGCCACUGACACGUGGGGCAUGCCUCUCGGGGUCGUCUUCCUCCUCUGGACAGAGAGGAGGGGAGGCGCGCCGGCGGUGAUACCGACGCCCUCGUGCCCCAAUGACGGCAAGAAUGGAGCCGGCUCAUCGUCGCCUACCUGCUAGUGGUCGAAGGAAUGACGGGGAGGCCGUGGGUCACCGACGACGAGGUGGCCGCGACGGAGGUGCUACGGGAGGUGGUGGAGCUGGGUACUACGGGCAGGGAAUUGCUCGGGGAAGAGGUGGAGAAGCUCUGUGAGCUCACUACGGUCACGGAGGAGGUGAGAGGAUGUGGAGACCCCGACUUACGAGUCGAGGUCGCCGUGCUCAGUGAUCCGAGAGAUCAAUGCUCACCGAACACAGAUGCCGAAUAAAAGAGUCUUACAUCCGAGUACCGAUUAUUACAACACAUGACCGAAUGGUCAAGUUUACAAGGUAGGGCCUAAGGCCAAAUCACUCUGAUACACUAGUAGCGGAAAACAUAGGGGCUAAGCGGGUGCCCAUGCCAUCAAGCCUACACCGACAGGAAUUCUGACUCGGAAGCGUCCUAGUUCGCAAGGGCGUCUCCGGAGACGUACUCAUCUCCAAACUCCGGUCCUUCCAUGUCUGGUCAAUAACAUAACCAGUGGCAAUCCAAUGAGUACUUUGAAUGUACUCGCAAACAGCCCAUGAUAUGAACAAUGAAAGUGAAGGAUAACAAUAUCAUGCAUCUUUGGUGUAAGUCAUCUAGGUGGAAUGAUCAUGAUUAUGCUUCAAUGUCAAAGAAUUACUUUUGAAGAACAGGUUACAGAUAUCAAUAUAUCUGUCAAGGGCUGAGCCAUCCGGGCUCACCCGAUAUGCCAAGUCACCGAACUUGGUCAUAUCCUUACUUUCAUAACCACACCUUUUUCAACACCACAUACACUCACACUUGGUUUAUGCGGAAAUAACUGGACGUAGUUUAAGCAGGAUUACCCAACUGUCCUUGACCGUGGACACGGCUAUUCGAAUAGUUUACACUCUGCAGAGGUAGUACACUGGACCCACGAGAUCCGGGAAACUUCCGUGUAAUCCACGGCUCGCGGCAUAAAACAUACCCGAGGUAAGUACCCAAUCAAUGCCUUUCCCCUGACUAUACUAGACAAAGAGGUCCACUCGAUUGGUACCCAGCCCACAUGUUGUACGUCUUACGAGCACCAACUCUGGACAAUACCAACCAUGCGGGGACCAACGGUGUGACUGGAACUCAUAAAAAUGGCAUAGUCGUCCUACAUGGCACGACCCUAUCAUGAGAAUGACCACACAUCACUCCCGCCACUAGUAAUGUGGCUCUUUGCUAGCACCGACCAGAGUAAUUAACAUAGCCCCGUCCCAUAAGGGGUAACAUGGUCGUGUUGGUAAGGUUGGGACGAUCGACACAUCAUAAAUCUAAUCCCAUUUCCGAAACCAUACUCACACAAAUACUGGGUGCAUCACUUCACCAAAAGUGACCACCUAAUUUAUCAUCACCCUCGGGCAUUAGUGGCACCCGACGGGGUUUUCUUAAACUCUUGCUUUAUUUCAUCAACAUGCUCAUGAUAAAACUACCUCUAUCAUUACUUGUCAAUAUGGUAUUAGCAUGACCCUCAAGGGGUAGGGUCAAGCUCAAUGCAUGUGCUCCGGGGGAGCCUUCGGUAAAAUCAUAUCAAAUGAUUACCGGCACUUAUGAUCAUAUGCAACGGGAAUACUUGUUAUUUUAACAUGCAAAGUAGCAUAUGAUCAGUCAUGGUCAAAGGGCUGCUUGCCUUUGCUCACAUAAGUCCUCUGGGUCUUCGAGUUCUUCCGCUCCAACUCCGAGUACUCCAUCUACCGUCAACUAUCGUCGGAAACAAUCAUGGUAAGCCACACAGCAGGCUGAAAUAAAGUGCUACAAAAAUAGAAGUUAUAUUUUUCUUGGACCUCUCUGUUCAUAAGAAAAAUACCUGAAGUUUGCCAUAGGAGGUUUGGAUCAUCAAGGAUUGUUGAAUGGACGAAAGGAGGAAUAGGGGAUCAUGAAGAAGCCUACAGAAAUCAUUCUCUUAAAAAUGAGUGGAGGCACUCAAUAUUCAGAGCAUGAUUUUAGAAAUAUUUAGGAACCUGUAGAAAUGUGAAUCAUUAGAAUUGGAGCUAAAAUGAAUUUGCUAUGGAUUUUUUAAGUUUAAACCAAAUAGGAAAAGAGAAAAGGCUUAGACUCGGGGGUAUCUUACGCUCAGGGCAUUGGGUAGGCCUCGGGCCGGCCCAGCUCCCUCAGCCUCGAGGGGCUGGUGACGCUGAAGGCGUAUUCUCAGGAAUACGUCUUCCUCGCGGGGAGGCAGCAUCUUCGCAGGCGCGGCCACUUAUCCCGGGGCCCGACCAAUGUGAGGCUGACGGGGGGUCCCACCUGUCUGAUGCAUCUCCCACCUCCCGCUCACGCAAGGGAGGGGCAGGGGCUCGAGGGCGCACCGGCUCCUGCUCCUCUGGCCAUCCCUAGUGAGACCCGGCACACCGGCGGGCUCGGGUGGCCGCGCCGCGCCCGACCAGGCCCCAUGCGCUAGCGGGGAGGGGCGGCAGUGACCCCGGUAGGGAGGCCAUGGGGGAGGCCGCUGGCCUCCAUGGCCUCGGGCACGCGGAGUCGAGGGAGGAGAGGGGGCGUAGAGGGAGGGAUGCGCGGCAACGGGGAGGCUCACCGGAGAGCCCAUGGGCGAGGGGAAACCCCCUGGGUUCGCUUGUCUCGCGCGGGCACCUUCGGGAGCUUUGGCCAUGGAUAUGGCGGGAGGAGGAGGGCCUGGGGGAGUGCCGGGGCUCGAAUAGGGAGCCUGGGAUGCUCUCCAGUAAGGGGAAGCAAGAGAGACUUGGGAAGAGGGGAGAUAAGAGAGGAGGAGGAGGAAGGAGAGCUUGGAAGCUGUCGGGUGCACCCGUGGGCAUGGGUGCCACACGUUCAAGAGGAACCUUGGAAGCUAGCUAGUUUGGGAAGAUAAUUUGAAUGGUCAAAGGAAGGCUCUGGGAUACACUCUGGCAUCUUGGUUCAGCAAGAAAUGGACUGGAGGGAAGCAACAAGGUGCAGAGCACCCAUAUUGCAGUCCAGGGUGGUGGUCACCACGGGCACGAGUGCCAAUAGGGCCCUAAUGACCAGUCAAAGGUGUGUGGCAGGUGGGGCAUGCUAUAUGGAAAGUGAGUGAGGAUUUUGGCUUCAAGUGAAGUUGAUUUGAAUGGCUGUUGACUGAGGUAAACAUUUCAGCAGGAAACUAGAGGCUGAUGCAAGUGGUUUUCACAGGCAAAGAUGGGAGGUGAAACCAUGUCGUGGAGCAUCAGGUAUGGAAGGACUACGCCACUGUAAUAUUUCAGCUCAAGCAAGGAAGUGUAGCUAGCACUUGAUGUACAAGGCUACCUUUCAGCCAUAAAUCAACUUGAGGAUGUGCUGCUCAUUUUCUCCACAUGAGCAUGCCACCUCUUGGCUUGAAACAAUACCUUGGAGUGCUAGAUACCCUCUGGAAAGAGAUGGGGGCUUUGGCUUAAGCAGAAGUGGGGCAAGAGAGGUAAAAAUAGUGAUUCCAAGGGUAAAAUGAGAGAUAGUUACAUAGGAUAUCUCUCCAAUAAUUCACCAAUGGCCAUGGGGAUGUUACUGGAGGUAAAAUGUAACUAGAGAUAGUUGUGGUAGAAAGUUGAGCUCAAGGGUAAAGGUGGAAGGGGUCAAAGAAGCCAAUUUAGUGAGUGCACACAAGGUGUUUGAUCUGUGGUUAGGCCAUCAAAUGAAUUCCAAUGGCUAUGAAACUUAAGAGGAUCAAAUAAUAGAUGAAAAUAAGGUUGCACACCAAAUUUGGGAUUUGCUGGAGAAGUUUUCCAAUGUAGACUUGGAAAACCCUCGAAAUGAGCAGAAAUGGCUUUCUGCUUUCAAUCCUAUUCAAAUCAAGUUCCACAAAUCCAAUAUUUGGUGUAGGGGAAUUAUUUGAGCACUAAGGCAUGCACAAAAAGGUUGGGGUCAAUUGAAGAAACUUUAUAAUGUAAAGUUUCCCAAAGUCAGAAAUCAACAGAGAGGGUUUUGAGGGUCUUAGGACAAGUUCUUCUAUUCUCCUUGAUGCACCACUUGGUGUGGAUGCAUUAUUGGAGUAUUAGAACAUGUCCACCAAAUUUGAGCACAGUUGGAGACACUUCACAAUGUAUAGUUGCUCAGAUUUGAAUCUAGACAGAUAGGGUUUUAGAAUAAUUAGGGGAGUCAAAUCAACUUGGAUUGAGUUGAAACUUGGCAAGAUCAUCAAGCAUGUCAUAGGUGACAUGCUUGAAUUUUAAUGGAAUUUGUUGAGAAUAUUUCUUAUAGAAAUAUUUCCAAAGCUUGAAAUAGGCAAGAAUGGUUUUGGAGGGGUUUGCCCAAUAUUUUGAACAUGACCAUGUGUUGAAACUCAUAUAUAUGGUAUAAAUAUAUCCACUGAGUUUCCCUAAUUUUUCUAAAUAUUUUGAAAGCAAUAAAAAUAACUUUCCUUCAUAAGAGACCAUUUAUGGUCUCACAGAAAGGCAUUUAAAUAAAAUAAUAAAAUAACUUUUAAAAUAAUAAUAUUGUGGUUUUUGGAAGACAUUUUGAUAAUAGGUUUUAAAUAAAAUAAUUGGUUCCAAAUAAAUUCCCUAAUUGGAGGACUUGUAGUACAAAUCUCAUGUGAGGGGUUUGAAAGUUUAAUUCAAAGAAAUGCUUUUUGGUGAAAAUAAUAUUUGGUAAGAAUAGAUACUGGUUCUAAACACAUGGCAUGAUCAUUAGGCAGGAGAACAUGGGAUGAGGAGAUGAGUUGGAUGUUAGCAAGAAUUAUUGGGGAGCAAUUACAUGCAUACAAGCAAGCGGGCAAACAAUAGUCACUUCAAUCAUCACAACAUUCACAAAAAAUUUAAUUGGUCCUAAUUUUUGAAAUAAGUUAGUUAGUCAGGAAAGCUAAACGCAGGGUGUUACAGAGGAGCGCGAGAGCUGGCUUGUAGCCCGAGAUUGACGAAGCUCCGAAGCGGCGGGGUCACGAUCGAUCUCGAGCACUGGAGCUCUUUGUGCUCGAAUGGGGUGGUUGGGGCCUCGAUUGAGGUUGUGGAGGAGAGGUGUGAGGGUGCUAGAUCGAGGGGAGGCCUAUUUAUAGGCUAGCAAUGAUGCACCGCAUGGGAGUGCGUUGGUGGUUUCAUCGCGGCUGCUUGAGAGGGAGAGAGAGCUCGGGGCCGAUACCAUAGUUUUGCGGACGUCGUUUGAGACCCCAGAGACUCAACGAGAGAGAGGGGGGGACGCGGCACGCGCGAGCUGCGUGGCCGUGUUUUUCUGGCCGAAUCUGGCACGCGCGGGCACGCGUCGCCCUGGUCAGCAGAGAGGGGGAGGAGGGGCAAUGAGGCUGCCCUGAUUCAGGAGGUUGGUCGGAGACACAGAGAGACACCGAGGGGAGGUGAGAACCGGCCGGGGCUAGCCACCUUUGCCUCGGGUGCGCCCUGUAGCACGCCCAUGGCGCAGUUUUGGCAUACCACGGCAUGUUGGCGCGCUCUAGGGUGAUUUAGCUGUGUUUGGCGUGUCCAGGGGUUGGGUUAGAUGCUCCUUAGCCGUUUGAGAGCCAAGGGUCUCACUGUUGGUCAAAGGAGGUGAUUAAAGAGGAGAUGUCAGUCUUGAGCCAGAAACUAAAAUGGAUAUUUUGGGCUCUUCUGCUUGGAACCAGAGAGGGGCCACUCGUGUGAAGUUGAGGAGUGGUGCUGGCGGCUUGCACUAAGAGUUUGGUGGAAAGGGUGUGGGUGUAGAGGGGGUUAAGUCUUGUUUGACCAAGUUGGCAGAAGGUGUUCGACAUGUGUUUGGGGUAGUUACCCUCCACCACUCGUGCUGAGAGUUAACAUGAUUGGGUUUGAUGCAAAAAUAGGACGCUCCACCAAAUUUAGGCUCAAACUUGAAAUCACCCCCAAAUGGGCAGUAUUGUCCUUUCAAAAGGGAAUGUGGGUAAACUAAUCCCCACAAAUCCAACUUUUGGCACGGACUCCUCAUUUGGGGUGUUGAGCACUCCUACAAAGUUUUGGGCCAUUUGGACAAACGUUGCUAUGUAGAGUUGCUACAACUUGAUUCUGGACACGGAGGGUUUUAGGAUUAUUUGGUGAACCAAAUCACCUUGAAAUGAGGUGAAACUUGGCAUCAACACCAAAUAUAGCUUGGGAAGCAUGCUGGAAUUUUCUGGGAAUUUAUUGGAAAUAUUUUCUUUGGAAAUAUUUCAAAAGGUCAAAACAGACAGAAUGGGUUUUCAAGGUUUGGCUCAAAUAUUUUGAAUAUAAAUAGGGGUUGAAAAUCUUAUGUAUGGAAAAUAUAUGUCCUCUGAGUACUUCCAAAUUUUCUCAGAUUUUUCUAAGGUAGAAAACUAAUUUUCCAUCCAGAAAUACCAUUUUUGGCCUCACAAAAGGACAUGCAAAUAAAAUAGAAAAACAUUUCAUAAAAUAAUUAUUUUAUGAUUUUGGAGAGUUAAAAUAGUGCUAAAACCAUAUUACCAUCUUUGGGUGAAGGCACUCCUUUGAAAUCAGGUACUUGUAGUGCAACCCAAAGCAAGGUUUUGAAAUAGUCAAAAAUGAGAAAAAGGUUUUUUUGGAAAUAUCAUGUUAUAAAAAUGUUAUUUUUGGAUCCACUCUUUCAAGCAUACACACAAAGAAUGGCAAUCACAGCACUCAUAGAAAUUGCUUAAAAAGAUUUAAUAAACUCAUAUUUUUGAAAAGGCUACAGUUGAAGUAAGGUAAGAACAGAGUGUGACAAUCAAACACUUGCAACCAACGCUAUAAAGGGGUUGUCAAUCCCUUCAGAGUUAUUUGCAAGGAUGAGAUCUGAUAGAGAUACAUAUAAAGAUUGCAGAAACAAAAGUAAAUAAAUUGCAGCAAAGUAUUUUUGAUUUAGAGAUAUGAAAGUAUAAUGUGGAAAAUAGACUCGGGGGCCAUAGGUUUCACUAGAGGCUUCUCUCAUAAUGGAAAAUAAUACGAUGGGUGAACACAUUACUGUCGAGCAAUUGAUACAAAAGCGAAUAAUUAUGAAUAUAUCCAAGGCAAUGAUUAUGCAUAUAGGCAUCACGUCCGUGUCAAGUAGACCGAAAAGAUUCUGCAUCUACUACUAUUACUCCACACAUCGACCGACUCCUCCCUGCAUCUAGAAAUACUCAUCUAAAUACCUCCGAGGAAUUCUAUAGGUAUUUACAUCUAUAUGUAUUAUAAGUGUGCUUUCAUGAAGGAUGAUUUUUCUUUCAAGGAGGAUUAACAAUAUAGUCUGCUCCCCGAGGUUCGGUGAUGUAAAACCACUCCUUUUGCCAGACUUUGGUGUUGUCGAUAAAAGUACCCUCCGACCACUCGACCCGUGGAAGUUUGGUGAUCACGGCUCCUCCGCAGUCAGCAUGUUGGUCGCUGACCAUCUUCAGCUUGACAUUGAAAGUCCUGAGCCAUAAGUCGAAGUGCGAAUGAACCCGCAGGAAGGCCUCACAAACGAUGAUGAAGGUUCAGAUGUGCAUAAACGAGUUCCGGGGAAGAUCGUGAAAAUCUAACCCGUACAAGAACAUUAGGCCCGUGACGAAGGCGUGGAGGGGAAAGCCUAGUUCUCGAAAGAAGUGGGGGCGAACACCACCCUCUCGCCCGGCCUUGCUGUCGGCACCACCUGACCCUCCUCCGGGGCAUGAUGGAUAAUGUUAGGUGAGAGGUAGCCGGCGAGCUUCAACUCCCGGAUAUCCUUGUCGGAGACGCAUGAGACCUCCCACUUACCUUGGGAACCCGAGUCGACCAUGGUUGAGCUUGGGGAAAGGCAGAUGGGAGAGGACGGAAAGAGAAAUGGAUCUGGGCUCUUGGAGCUUGAAUGGAAGGGGGGUCGAGUCUGGAAUGCAUGUGGUGGCUUUGAGGAUCUUUUUCCCUUUUAUGGGAGGCCAUAAGACCAGUGGUUCCCGUUUACUGCGCCGCAAGCCUUGUCACUUCCUGAAAUGACCAUGUUUUUAAACACGCUUGGGAUAACCCAGAUCAUUAUUCGUAUCCCCUUCAACUCGGGGCACGAUCUCCACGUUGAUAAGACAUGCCAAUGGGAAAGUGGCCUCGAACCACUAAUCAGCUUUUCAUAACUAGCUAUCACGACCUUUCGUUAGAAAGGCUAUCAGAUGAGGAAUUGUUCGCACCCGGGCUUUUAAACCCUUGAAUUAAGUGGUGUUUGUUUUAAAGGCACGACAUCGCCAAACGGCCAAGUCGAAACCGACCGAACGUGAAGGGAACUCGCCUUGCAAGCCGAUUACUCUAGAUACGAGGAUCUACCGAAGACCAUAUACAUCAGCAUUGGAGGCCAGUUCAGGGGCUACUGAGGGAGUUCGGGACUAAGGGGUCCUAGGGCGGUCGGCCCAUCUCUUACAGGCCGACCUAAUGGGUCGCUUUGUUGAAGACCGGAUUGCGUGAUGACCUCAUGUUCAGGAAGGAAAGCUCCGAAGACUAGCGUGUCAUCCAAGUGAAGUAGUCUAGAUCGGUGCAUCUGUCCCCAGCUGGACUUCGGUUAUGUGUAACCCUAGGGACCCCUGGUAUCUAUAUAAACUAGAGGGUUCCAUCCAUAUAGGCAGGUUGACUCAUCUAGGGUUUUAGCUCAUACGAUCUCGAGGUAGAUCAACUCUGUAAUAUUCAUCCACAUUAAUACAAUUAAGCAGGACGUAGGGUUUUACCUCCUCAAGUGGGCCCAAAUCUGGGUAAACAUUGUCUCCCUCGUUCCCUCUUACCCAUCAAUGCAAGGUCCACAGCUCGGGACCAUGUACCCGAGAUUCGCCGGUUUUGACACCGACAGGCGGGCGAUCAAUCUGAUCGCAUGCGCGGUCGGGGGCGUUGCUCGGUGAUGAUGACGGCAUCGUGGAUGGUGAAGUGGGGUGGUCGAGCAAACCAAGGCGACGGUGACCGGUAGGCAACGGCGUGUCGGAGGAGGCCGGCGAAGGGUCGGGCAGCCCGAGGCAGCCGACAGGCUCGACGCAACCGGCGAACGAGGCAGUCGGGAAUCGGCAAGCCCAAGGCAGGCAGCAGUCCUAGCGCAACCGAAGAGGAGGGAAACAACUAGCAGGCGUAAGGCAACCGCCGAUCUCGAGGCGCCCAACGAUUGGCGAUGAAGACGGUAGGUGGAUGGUGCAGACGUCCUGUUCGGCGCAGGGCGGCAACGGUCGGCGUAGAGCGACGGGUGGGCAGAUGCGUGGACAAAGGUCGUGACGUGCUGCAACACGCAUGAGGCUAUCGGGUCGGACUAGAGGUCGGCUGUCGCGCUGGUGUGGGAGUAGAGGCGCGGAGUCGACGAUGGCGGCGGGCGACGGAAACCGAUCUUAGAUCAGAAUACCAAAAAGAAAAACACCGAUCAAAGCGAUCGACGGAAGAGAGAAAACCCGGAUCAAACGAUCGGGGAAAAAGACUCUCUAGAGCAGCCGGUCAACUUGAUCGGCGAACGAACACUAGGUCCGGGCGGCACAGCCCCCGACGGCGGUCAUGGAGGACGACCGCCCCAGGGACGACGCGCGAGGCGGAAGCGGCAGGCGGUGGCUAGGUCUCGGAACUUGAUGCAGAUACCAUGUUGAAAGGUAGAGAGGGAUUGGUGGAAUUGUUGUUGGGUGUUGUAUUGAGCCUUAUGGUCGAGUAUAUAUGGGAAUACAGGCUUGAAGUGCAAAAGUCUCUCCUAGAAAUAAGGUAGGAGACGGAUUAGAAAUCCUAAACUAUCAAAUACAUGGACUCCAAAUAUAUCUCUAAAAGAUCCGAACAUGGCCACGAGAAGUUUGAUCAUCUCCUCUUCCUCGCCCAGCCUUGGUUCGGCGGCGCGGUGCUUGAGUGUUGGGGCGGCGGCUCACACAUGGGUUGGCGGAGGUCGGGCACUGUCCAUAUCCAGUGUGUCGGGACUCGGGAUUCAGGAGAGCUCUGCCGUUGGUGGCCCCGCUGUUCUUUAGCUCCAAAACUUUGAUCUGCUUCAUGUAGGUCUCCUCGAUCUGGACAUCUACGGGUUCCGGUCUUCCUUUCAGAGAUCUCGCUUUUUGGCGCUUGACGUCACUAGAGAUCGGAAUUGAUCUGGUCGGGCGCGCUCUCAUCUUUGGGCAGAGAGGCUUCAUGAGGGCAUGGUAUGAAGGUUCGAUGUCUUGUCAGCGCUAUGGGACAUGUCUAAGUAUAGAUUUCCAAGACGUUGACAGUGGUGAAAGUCAUGAUGACUACGAUCGGAGACUUGUAAUGACAGAGAGGAUUUUUGGUUGCAUUGAAGAACGGCGGCACGGGGUUUUUUCCUGUGUGUCGGGUGUGUUGAGAACUUGCACAAUGGUCUUGGCAGCAGGGGCGGCAACACAGGUGGACAAAAUUUUUGGGGGUACUACUCGAGUACCAAACCGUGACGUUGAGGGUGAAAGCCCAAGGUGUGGCCUUCAUUGGUUGUAUCUGGCAAUGGUCUUGGGACGGCAUUGUUUUUGGGAUUUCGGACUCUCUCCGGGGUGAAAACGCAAGAUCUUUGAUUGGGCGACGACAAUGAUUGAGCAUUGUUUCCUUCUUGGAGGCGUCACUUUUUGAGAAACUCUUCUAUUGUGCGGGUGUUGUCUUUGAUGGUGGUUAGAGUAUCGUUGUUGUGAGUGUUUCAUCACUAUAACAGGGUCUUUGUUUUUAUAUUUCUCUCUUUUUAUUUUUGUUUUUGACUGUAUGCAUCCUUGAUGUUUUUUAUAUCUUGUUGGUGCAGAGGCUGGACGUAAUUGGUAUCUUCGCAAUAUUAAUAUAUUUCCUUUAUUGAAAACGAAAGACCACCAGUCCACCACAUCUUUAGCCUAAAACAAGCUUCUCAGAAUAGAACAGGACAUCGACCCAGCAAACGUUAAAGGAUAUCAGUCUCGGUACUUCUUCUACCGCUAUUAAAGUCACGCGACGGAACCCCAGGUGUUUGGUUCAACGUUUCUUGCCCGUUAUCUAAUUACACUCGUAUCAAAUAACGUUAGCUGUGUUUGGAAAGGACAGCACGUAAUCAAAUCCCGUGUAAACAGAUCCUGUCGCUGCCUAAGGUCGAUUCCGCCCACCCCCCCAGUGUAAACGCAUUAUGUUACCCUUUGCCCCUUGAGCCCUUUGUUCCUAGUCCCUGAUCCCCUCUGCCUCCGCCUCCUCGCAUCCCCUUCCGCCGCCACAAGCUUAUCAGCCUGGACAGAUCAAGUCGCUGUCAACGGCGACGGCGCCAGCGCCGAUGGCUGGCAGUGUGAGAAGGCCGGCUGGAAGCUGGUGGUGGACUGUGUCGGACAGGGCAUGUCGUUCGUGGAAGCUGAGCGGACAUCGCCAUCGACAAACUUGACGAUGGGAGUUGGGAGGUGCUUCUUGCUCAUGUACGACGACCACAUCUACAAGGCCUCGCCGUCGGGCGUGCUGCUACCCGCCAUCAUCGUCCCGCCCCUCGUGCACGAAUAGCUGACGCGCCUCGAGUCCGGAGGCUUCACGCUCGGCCACAGGAAUUUCUACGGCGUCAGCAAUGUCCGUCGGCAUGGCGUAGUACGGCUGGGAGAUCACUUCUGGUGCCCGUGUCAUAGGUGCAGCCCGUCUCGGCCAAGGAGAUACGUUUUCUAGGAAGGAAUCAAUUGACGUUACAGGCUGCAACCAAACAAGUUUGUGUUUUCUUCGAUUACGUUAACAGUAACAGCGUCAUUUCAUUAUGUUUACAUUUGCGUUACCUCUAACAAACCAAACACCUCCUAUGUCGUUCCCGUCCGAUCCGCUCGAGCUCAGCAGACCCCUUUGCUGAUUGUCUGAUAACGAAUCACCACGUAUCUCAUGCUCACUCCGGAGCGGCGGUUGAAGCUCAUAGAGGAAGUAAAUUGCAAAAAAACAUCAUAAUUAUGCAAAAGUCAUCAAACACCCACCAAAAUGCAUGUUUUAUGGUUUUUUCCUGAUGCGUUGAUAACAUCGACCCAAUUGUGGUGGUUUUUUGCAAUUUACUCUCCUAAGACCUUGUUCGGUUCCUUCCGAAAUGAAGGGGUUUGGAGGGGAUCGAGAGGGAUUAAAUCCCCUACAAGUCAAAUUCCAUCGCAAUCCCCUCCUUGCCCGGAUUAACCGAACAAGCCCUAAGGCCUUGUUUGGCCGGAAGGGGUUGGGGAGGAUUGUGAGGGGGGGGUCAGAGGAUUGGGUGAAUCCUUCCUUCCACCCAAUCCUCUCAAAUCCCCUCAAUUGCCAAAUCCCUGAGCCAUGAGACAAGGUUUCUGAGCCGCGUGGGUAGGAAGAAAUCUAGGGGGAUGUCACGCCCAAGAUGCGACCCUAUCCUCAAUUUGGCACGAAGGCCUCGUCAGGGAUAGGAGCGCAUCUCAUCGUGUCGCAAGAAUGGAUAUCAUUACAAGUACAUGUACUGAAAGGAAGAGAUAUAUAUUCAGAGUUGGCUUACACUCGCCACAAGCUACAUCAAAGUCACAUCAAUACAUUACAUAAUCAUCAAGAGUAAGAUCAGGGUCCGUCUACGGACGAAAACAAAUGAGAAAAAAAAUAAGAACGACGUCCAUCCUUGCUAUCCCAGGUUGCCGGCCUGGAACCCAUCCUAGAUCGAAGAAGAAGAAGAAGAAGAAGCAACUCCAAAUGAACAAUCAACGCGCUCGCGUCAAGUAACCUUUACCUGUACGUGCAACUGGUGUUGUAGUAAUCUGUGAGCCACAGGAGACUCAGCAAUCUCAUUUCCAAAGGUAUCAAGACUAGCAAAGCUUAAUGGGUGAGGUAUGGUUAAGUGGUGAGGUUGCAGCAGCGACUAAGCAUAUAUUUGGUGGCUAAACUUACGAGUACAAGAAAUGAGAGGGGGAAGAUCUACGCAUAGCGGACGUAACUACUGAUGAUCAAAUGAAUGAUCCUGAACACCUACCUACGUCAGGCAUAACCCCACCGUGUCCUCGAUCGGAGAAGGAUCUCACGAAUGAGACAGUCACGGUUACGCACACAGUUGGCAUAUUUUAAUUAAGUUAACUUCAAGUUAUCCAGAACCAGUGUUAAACAAAGUUUCCACGUUGCCACAUAACCGCGGGCACGGCUUUCCGAAAAGAUUUAACCCUGCAGGGGUGCUCCAACUAGUCCAUCACAAAUUACCACAAGCCGCAUAGAAAUCCUCAAUCACGAAGCUCACGAUCUCGUCGGAUUCCCUAGUGGAAAACCUCAACUCUGAGAUUACCCAAAGCAUCACCGGAAUCCCGAUGCACAAGAUAUCUCGUCAAAGGUAAAACUAAUCCAGCAAGGCCGCCCGACGUGUCGACGAUCCCGAUAGGAGUCGCGUACCUCGUUCUCAGGACACGACGAAUGAGCGAUGGUUACCACGCCAAACGCCGAGUUGCCCCGGGUAGCGUUAAUAAGCUGCUCUGUUUUGGACCAACACUCAUGAGGACCACUGCCGGGAGUUGAUUAAAUUUCCUCGGGUUAAUUACUCCCUAUGCAGUUCAUUAGUUAUUAGGCAAAUGUAGUACCAAAGUUGGGCCUUGCCAGACCAGCUUUAAUCUAAAACGAAUUAUCAAGGGGGUCCCCAUAACAACCCCGAUCGUGUUAGGAGCGCUCGUUUAUGGAAUAUAACACCGGUAGCCGAAAACUAAGGGGGCAAAGGUGGAACAAAACACCAUGCUAGAAAGGCCGAGCCUUCCACCUUUUACCACGUAUAUAGGUGCAUUAAAUUAAAUAGCAUUUAAUAGGGUGAUAUGACAAGGAACCCAUGUUAUCACAUGGAAGCAUCUGCACCUGCAACUAGCAACGCUAACAACAUGGGUAAGCAAGCGGUAACAUAGCCAAUCAGUGGUUUGCUAGGUCGAACAGGUUGAAGGUAAUCAUGGCAUUGUUGAGAGGCUGAUAUUUAACAUGUGGUAGGCAACGAGACAUAAUCGAUAGAAACGGUAAACUAGCAUGGCAAUGAUAGUAAUGGUAUCUGGGGAAAAUAUCAUCUUGCCUGAGAUCCCGCUUGGAAGAAGAACAUCUCCGAGAUGUCGGCGAACCAACGUAGUCGAACGGGUCCUCACAUUCCGACACGCUUGCGGAACUCUAUCGAGACAAACCAGAAACAAACAUCAACACAGAUAUUCACCACACGAUGCACAACAUGACGCAUUACUUACUAUGAUGCAUGGUCAGUUCAAUAAUGCAAGGGAUGGCAUAGCAAUUCACCUCAAGAAAACUCUACACAUUAAGCGAAGCUCGAUAUGCAACGGGUUGCAUAUCGACGAUACUCCACGUUUAAUUAUUUAAUUCACUCCCGAUUAUUUACACGACAAUAUUAAAUUGUAGUUAACAUGGCAAGGGUGAAGCGACGAACCUACAUGACAUCCUAGUCGACAGCACGUCGGACUUAGAACGGAGCUACGGCACAAGAACAUGCAACACAAGAUUAUAUGCCAUGAAUGCGUGUCGGGACCCCGAUCCNNNNNNNNNNNNNNNNNNNNNNNNNNNNNNNNNNNNNNNNNNNNNNNNNNNNNNNNNNNNNNNNNNNNNNNNNNNNNNNNNNNNNNNNNNNNNNNNNNNNNNNNNNNNNNNNNNNNNNNNNNNNNNNNNNNNNNNNNNNNNNNNNNNNNNNNNNNNNNNNNNNNNNNNNNNNNNNNNNNNNNNNNNNNNNNNNNNNNNNNNNNNNNNNNNNNNNNNNNNNNNNNNNNNNNNNNNNNNNNNNNNNNNNNNNNNNNNNNNNNNNNNNNNNNNNNNNNNNNNNNNNNNNNNNNNNNNNNNNNNNNNNNNNNNNNNNNNNNNNNNNNNNNNNNNNNNNNNNNNNNNNNNNNNNNNNNNNNNNNNNNNNNNNNNNNNNNNNNNNNNNNNNNNNNNNNNNNNNNNNNNNNNNNNNNNNNNNNNNNNNNNNNNNNNNNNNNNNNNNNNNNNNNNNNNNNNNNNNNNNNNNNNNNNNNNNUCCAUUACGUCGCGUGACCUUUCCCAAAGGGGACAGACACAGCAGCUAAGAAGGACACAUGCCGGUCAACCAAUGUGUCUGGAGCAGUAGCGAACUACCAAGACUCAAUGGAUCAUGAAGGGGCAUUUCCUUGUAAGGAGUGCUACUAAAGUUCACGACUAGGUAAUCGAACCCCAUACAUAUCAGGUACGUCACACGUACGCAUGGCAUACCGAUAUGUAUAGAUACAUCGAUGGCAUCACAACAUAACCAUAAACAUNNNNNNNNNNNNNNNNNNNNNNNNNNNNNNNNNNNNNNNNNNNNNNNNNNNNNNNNNNNNNNNNNNNNNNNNNNNNNNNNNNNNNNNNNNNNNNNNNNNNUCGUCGUCGUCGAUGUCUACGAAGAACCCUCCAUUAGGGUCAUUAGCAACCUCUGCAACAUUUAUUAAGCAAACAUGAGUACGAAGGUACUCAGCAAGACUUUAGGAUGACUGACUACUCAUGCAAGGUAUCAAAAGGUAUUGUGGGGUUUCAUGCGGAAAGCCAGCAUUUGACUCGUGUCUAGACAACUUGCAUUUUGAAAUUAGUUUUGACAACUUGAUUUCUCGCACACGAGUCCACUAACACCACAACAAUACACUAUCGUGGAAUCAUUCCGUCUCCCUACGGAAAUGCCGUCCACGACACUCAUGCUUAUCUUGGCAAUUUUAUGAGUAGCCGUUGAAGUUAUCUAUGAACAACAUAUGUCUCCAAGUAGUCCAUAUCCGCGGACGCGGCUAUUCGAAUAGAUCAUAACCCUGCAGGGGUGUACUUCGUCACACACGCUCUCGCCACUUAUCGCCAUGUGCACGUCAUGCACCUCGGCAACCUUCAAGCGGAAGCNNNNNNNNNNNNNNNNNNNNNNNNNNNNNNNNNNNNNNNNNNNNNNNNNNNNNNNNNNNNNNNNNNNNNNNNNNNNNNNNNNNNNNNNNNNNNNNNNNNNUAGGGCGAAUUCUAGUCAAAAAAGCAAUCGGAUACUGAAAUCUCUUCUGUGAAAGCUAAAGCUUUACAGAUUAUAGGAAAGCAAGCACCACGAAGGGCAGUACCCAAACUAUAGGUUAUCUUGUGUCUAGGCAAGCAAGGUCAAGUAGUGGCAUCCUAUUACCCUAAAUGGAAAGCAAAGUAGGUUAUUCAGCCAUCCCUCGCGAACAAUCAGAAGUCCCAGUUUCCAUAACUAAUCUCGCCAAUUUAUCACUUGACCGACCCAGAGGCUAAUCUAUUGUUGGCCCAGGCAAAGAGUGAGAAAAAGCAGCAAAUGGAGUAGCUUGCAGUGAGGAAUGAAAGCUGGUGUUUUACCACCAUUCAGCAAGAGAAGCCCACUGGAACCUUUUCAUAGGACCAUAGAAAACAUGUUGCUUCCUCUAUAGAGAUGACUGCUUCUUUAAUGAAGUUGAUCGUCUAUCUCAAGUGGUGGUGAUCGACUCCACGAAUAGCCUGAACCUGAGAAAUGUAGAUCUGCAAACGGGAACUUCCUGUUGUCUCGAAUCAGGUCUGCUAUUUCUAUUCGUAACUCUCUGGCUGGAAUCGACCAAAAUAGCCCUUGACGGCAAUAAGAGGAUCCUAACCACUACACGGUUCGAAAUAUCAAUCGAAUGAUACCUCAAUUGAACCUGCUGAGUCAGUUAUUGGAAAGAUAUCACUAGCAGUCUCACAGCAAUCUUUAGGAAAAUGCAGACACGGUAGUUUUUUUGAAACUUGUUCAGACACCGCAAGCAACUACCAGUAUCGAUCUUCUAAAGAAAUGACCUUCGUUGCCGAAGUGAUAGACAAACAAUUCUAUAGCGGACUUGGACUAGCGACACAUUUCUCCAUAUAUGAAAUUCAAUUCACCCGACAUCAAAGAGAAGCUCAAGCUCGGGAUCAAAGAUCAGCUACAGAUCGGGCUGGCAUUCAUCAUAGUCGGCAGCUAACUUUUGACUGAAACAUUUACUUUUCACUACAUCCGUAAGAAUCCGAUGGAAAAUGACUGCAACGCAAUCAAUUUCUCCAUCCCUCGUGCGCGCGUAUCGUAUAUAGUUCAAUGAGAAACAAUGCUUUCUGAUAUUCACGAAUUGGAUUCGAACCAAUGUCCCCCGACUCCUCUACCGAAUAAGGAUCGUGAUUCACAUUUCCUCGUUCUCUUUCUAGCUGCCCAUAUGGGUGGCUGCUAUCAUCCCCUUUUGAUAGCUUCUUAUCCGCAUCCGCGAGCAUAAGCGGAAUAGCCUGAACACUCAUAGCGAUUACCUCAACCCUUGUCUUUCCUUUGGCUCCGCUCGGUGGGGGGAACCCAAUGUACCAAUUCUUUCACUCGACCCUGCUCCUUCUUCUUUCUCAUUUGCCUCUUUCCCUCUCUCCUGCUCCCCCAGACUGUCACUCUAUGGCAAAGCUAAAGCUUUCCUGGCGCUUGGUGAAUAAUCUUUCUAUAGGGACAAAUAAAAGCCCAGUUUUGACCUUGCUGCAUAUAACAUCUAGCAUUUCAUGUGUCUGAAUGUAACAGCCAAUAAUCUGGUUUGCAAACCUAUCUUUGCCCUCCUCGACUGCGGGAGCCCUCCAUCGUUGCAGUACAAUAGACGUUAAUUUCAAGCAUAGCUUACUGGACAUACGGUCAAGAACUUCUUGCAGCCUUCGAAAGAAGACUUUAGACAUGACGCCAACACCUACGAUAGGAAUGCCGAAUAGUAUAUCGUCUGCGUAGCAAGAGAAAUAGAUGUAUUUGGUAGAAUCCCCAUUCUCCUCUUGGGCCAUAGCAUCGAAUUGCAAGUUGAGUUGAUGCAGGAAUGAUUGAAUCAAAACAGGCGAGAUCGGUCCUUGUGGAAGGCCGACUUCACUGUUUGAGUAGUCAUUCCCUUUCUUAGAAAGUAUCGGUGUCUUGAGAAAGCAAUUGAUGAGGUCAAUGAGAGGAGCGUUAUCUGUACCUAAGAGCUUAGACAAAUGUUCAAGUAGUAACCGAUGGUCUAUGCUAUCGAAACACUUGACCACGUCCACCUGAACCAUAUAAUCCAUAGACGGCCAUUGAGUUAAUGCACGGAAGAAGGGCCGAGAACCUUGCGGAAGCCCUGCGCAGAUGUGGAAAUUCGUGGAUCUAAUGAGUCAUUGAGUAGCUCUGCCAACGCGGUUAGUGUAAGUCGAUCGGCUGCCGCCGGUUGAGUGAUAGGCCUACAUAAAUGCUCCCGGCCUUUUCUUUGGUCUAAAGGACCUAAACUACUCACUUGCCAAACUGCCUAUUCAUAUGCCCUUUCCUAAACCACUUUGCUAGUUCUAUACACCUGCCAGGAUGCUUCUAUUGCUUGUUACGUAUUUGAUACUGCUCACUAUAAUGGAAUAGCUUUGUACUCAGUACAUGAUUGCUUUAUAGCACCUGUAGCUUAUGCAAACAAAUUCCCUCAGAUUGGCAGCUUUUCAAUGUCUAGCUAAUCCACUGCAUCUUAUAAAUUGUAUACUUAUUCAGAACCUCUUCCUUCGAGCUCCUAUGGAAGACCUUGGCCGCACGCGCCUUAGGCGAUUUCUAUUUUCUUUAGUUUAGAAUUAGUCUUUAAUUUAGGCCGCAGGUUUCUACAAAUUAGGUUAGGCCAAGAUAUUUGAACUUGUGCAAACCAACCAGUUCACCCAGGUUUUUUCCCUGUGGACCGACACCCGAAGUACUACACGAUAGGUCAUGCUUUGCCUUUUGCAGAUGCUAGUACAGUCCUAUUUCAAUCAAAAAGUAGAGUCCUAUUUUCAAGUACAUACCACCGCUUUCUUUUUCUUUGGACUGAAGACCCGCCUGAGUUGAUAGUCCUUACUUCCCACCCGAGACUGACUUGCUUACCUCUGCACCAACAACUUAAAUAGUAGAAUUUCUAACACUCCAUUCUUCUAUAGAUAGCCUAGAAUCGGAACUAGAAUAUGUGCCUGACUUACCUAUUUCCAAGACAGUUACUCAACUUCCAUCGCCGCUUGUACUUCUUUUCCCAAGCCAUCCGUUGGUGGAGACAGCAUUGGGUGCUUUAGCCUGGCAGACAUACUUACAUGAGUUUACCUCUGCCUUUCCAUAGAAAUAAAUUCUUACUUCAAUGAGUGAGUAGCGCUUAGUUGAACUAGAUUUUGAACACAUACUUGUUUACCUCCUUCUUGACUUGGACCUGUCAGUUACUAUAACGAGGGAAAUCUUCAAUGAGAAGAGCUAAAGGAAAUACAUAUUUACAAGUAGUAAUUCAACAAUUAGAACGUUUGGCAAGACUGCUUUGCCUGGAUGGGAUGUGCGAGACUGGAGUAGGGUUACAGGACGGGUCUCCGAGUUUAACUACUACUGAUGGAUUCUAGUUUAGAGAUUUAUCCGAAGGGAUCUAUUCCGGGGAAUGACUUGUGCCCUAAAGGAUGGAUCAAGCAUUAUUGAAGGAAUAGCUCGCUUCCCCCGCGGGAGAGUAUAGAUGAAUGCCUUAAGCAAGGGCGUCUAAGCGUGCAUGUACACUGUUUUUCAUGCCACAACACAUCGGUGAAACCGGAGAGAGCUGAAGAGAAGGGAAACCCCAGAGGCAUUGACCAUUUGGUACAGCCGCUAAUUCGGCAUUUGGUAGUGUCACCAUUUCUCGAAAGGGAAAAAACAUACUUAACAAUUCGAUUGGCAGGACCAAGGGAUAGAUCGAUUGCAAUAUCAGUAUCAUACAAAUACAAAUAGACAUGAGUACAUGAAUAAGGAAACGCAAAAGACACAGAGUAGGGCUAGUCAGAAGCGUCAAUGCAGACGCCAAUGGGUAAUCAGAUCCAUUCCACUCCACUUCUUCAGAUAGCAGUCGAUCCUGGAUCGUCCUCGCUUCCAAACUCCGUAAAUGAAUGAAACUCCUUCCCCGGUCCAUUGCUCGGGUGUGAUAAAAAUACUUCUUUGAAGUUGUAGGAUGCGGGUCAUCGAUCUUCCUAUCGGUCCAGAGGUUAUGCGCCAGCUUGGGAAAGAAAAAGUAAGAUUUGUUUGUCAUAUCACGAUCGGAACUCACAUGUAACUCUUCUUCUUGAGUAGGGGGAAAAGGACACCUAUCACGCGGUCAUGCCUUGAACGCAGUAAAGAAAUUAUAAGCUUCGAAUAAUAGCCACGCGAGUCUCCAAUAGCGUCUUAAGCGUUGGUUUUCUUUGCUGGCAUCGUAAUGGAUUGGUGGUUUCAAGAAGCUAGGGAGUAGUACGCAAAUUUGAAUCCUUUUUUCUAUUUUACUACUUUUUUUCGAUCGACAAGGACGGCAAGAGGUUCUUUUCCCUAGUUCCUAUAUAUCUAAAGCCUUACCGAGAUGUCACGCAAGAACAAGAAGAAAGAGCCCGCCCCUGUUCUGUGGCGGAUAGACUGAGAUGGAAUUAGAGGGAGGAAUGAACUUGAACUUUUCAUCUUCCCCCGAUCCCCCUUUACCCCCUUCCUGACCUUAGUAAAUAGAAAGGCUAGGAAUCAGUCUUCUCCUAUGCCUACACUACUACAACCAAAGACCUACUUGAACGACAACAGAUGCGGAUGAACUCGCUUAGCUGCUCGCUCGGUGAAAGGCUUUCCUGGAAGAAAGUUGAAGACGAGGAACGUAUCUCUCAUCUUCCUUCUCACCUGGUAGAGGACGGGGAUGAACUCCAAGGCCACAGGUCUGGAAAAAGAGCUAACUUUCUGAUUACUGCAAAAAAGAAAUCAAACCAGUUGGGUGAUUCUUUAAAGAGCCUAAAUCGAAUCUGUACUAUUGGUACAAAGCCAUAAAGAAUGGUCGUAACCAUAGAUCCAUCAUCUUCGAGGAGGAGGAAACAUAAGUCCAAUACACGUUAUGGAAGACUAGGGAUUGCUAAUCCGUCCACGCGGGAAGCCUUCUCCCUCUCAAGCUCAAGAGUCAAGAUAGCCCGCCCUAAACAAGAAGCUGCUUAUUCUUUCAAGGAUAAAGCUAACCAAAACAAGCUACGGAUUGAGCGUACACACUUGGUAAUUAUUUCCUGCUACAUCUGAUGAAUUCCACAAGUAAAGAAACAAGAGAAGCUAGCUAAUAGUCCCUCUUCACUUCCAACUAGUGCUUUGCCUAAGAUGAAUGAGUAGUUUAAAGCUUGGAUCCAUGGAUGGGAACAUGAGGUGGGCUAGCUUCGGAUCCACAACAGGUGGAGAGUACCGGGUGAAUCAUAGGAACGAGAGUCGCUUGUUUGACCCGAUGGAAAGCUUUGAACGAAUCCGGUGGAAGUGCCUCACUUGGUUGGGCUUCGAUAGGUGGAAAUGGGAAUGGGAUCGCCCGAGAAACCAUUGGAUCUAGGAAAUUGAUUCAUUGUUCUACCUCUCCCACUGGUGGUGGGUGGCAACCAAAGGACUUGAAUCUAGCGUUUGUUCCGGUUGAGCUUUCAUUCCUUCGAAUAGACGGAUAGCUCUUGGAGGAAGGGAUGAGCUUUUAUCGGAAGGACCUGGCCGAUGCAAUCGAGAGACUGAGAGGAACUGGACUUGGCAGAGGAAUGCAUAGAAAUAUCUGCCUUUGCCAGGAGAAUCCAAAUCUGCCUAAUAGCCUAUGAAUGUGGAAUCCCGUUCGUAUUCUUCCUCAAAGCCAUAUUUGCCUUUAUCUGAUUUCAACCUAUUGAUCUUUACUGUGCAUGGAUAUCUUGACUCAUGAUUCAACAGUUCACAUCCCCAGCGAACUCCCUCACACCAACUGGCAUUAAAGAGGAGCUGUGCCAAAAAGUGCCAUAGCAUAUAUUACUGCUUGCACAAAGAUCGGAAUCAUACCUCUAGCAGGCAUUUUCUGUUACCUAAACAGCUGUCAUUUCUACUUUACUGAAAUAGAGACUUUCAUUGAUACUUGAACUAUUGACCUGGCUAGCACUAACGCUUUGCAAGGUAAUUGGAGACUGGUCCGCUUGAAAUCGCUAGAGUUGAGAAAGGUCUGCUAAUCAUGGUACGAAUUAUCUGUUUAGGUAGGUAUACUACCGAAGCUGUUAGGCCGACAAGAGCUGAAAUAGCGGAGGUGAUUGCCGACACUCUCUAUCUAUAGGAUAAGCAGCUAGAUCGAUUUCCUAAUAGGAGAGUUACUUAGCGUAACAGUAAAACAUUGAAUUGGAACGCUUCGCCCCUUGGCGGAUCUUCCUCCAAGAGAGUCAAUGGGACUUGGUCUCGAUGUCAACUAAAGAAUUGACUGAGUCAGGUAUUCCCUUAUGAAGGGCUAAUGCAGUCGAUUUCUUCACAUCUUCGGUCAAUCGGACUUUUUUCUAGUCUUGCCUUCCUAAAAGGUAUUCCUAUAUCGGGUGAAUGACCAGAUCGAGAUAAGUUGGCCUUCUCUGAAUCUAUCUGAAUCCUUAAUCUAUCAAUAGAAGGACGACGAUACUCGAAGACUUUCCACUUUCAGCCCUAAGAGGGAACAACUCUCAAACGUGAUAAAAGCCGUAUUUUCGGCACCUUCAUGCUCCUUCUUGAAAAAAUGGGGUCCAACCCUAUAAUCUAGUCGUUGGGGUUUUGCUUCGUCUUUCUCCUUAGGGACAAACAUCGACUCACUACAUGAUGGAGUAGACCAAGGCGAAGAACUGAUAUAGAUAGUCAUAUUGGCCUCUCGCACUGCCAGACUUUUAGUUUGAUUUAUUGAUUCAAGGAAUAGAUCCCUGACGAAAUUCCUUUAAAGAAGGACAUCUCCUUCCCUGCCUGCUUCUUUGCCACAACCACAGCUACGGCUAGUAGUAUUCAUAGGGUCCUUUGAUCGCAUUCUUUCCCGCUGAAGAGUCUGAUCCAUCUCCUAUCCUUCUUGGGAAAGCUAUGGUACUAAUGGCUGGCCUAGCUGGCACUUUCUUUAUGCUAAUCAAACUAAAAAUUCUUUGAGUUGAAUAGACGAUGACUGGACACAACAGAACUCUUCCUCUCUCAUAGGGUCACUGACUCAAUUUCAUUUCUUUAAGGGAGGGUUCUAGCUGAAGGGCGGUCCUUUUCAUCUCUAACUCGAAUGUUCGAGCUAAUGUUUCCGGUAGUUGGAGUUGCGGGGAAGCUUCCCGGAUGAAAAGAAGUUGAAUGAGAACUGGCAGAAUAUAUGCAUGGAGAUUGACUUGGUGCGAAGGAAAAUAGUAGAUCUUCCAUAGGCGCUUUUCGGACUACACGCCAGUCUUUUUCACCAAGAGCUUGUUCCGAAAUGGAGAAGUACUUUGGAAUGAUUUUAUUGGGACGCUAGUGAGUUAAUGAGCACUCUUUGCAUGGUUCCAUCAACCCUUUUCUUGCGUGUUCUGAAUCGACUUCUCAUCUAUAAAGAAGAGAUGCCCCGUAGAAGACUCCAGGCCACCGAAGCUAACAAAAGGCUAAGGAGACCCAUUUAGUUCUUUGUUCUUAUGCCGACUAAAGCUAGCGGAGCCACAGCUUGAAUCUCCCUAGAAAUCCCCACUCGUAGCCCAACGGCUGGGUUUGUUAAGCAUAUUCGAUUGGAAGCUCUUCUUCACCGGGUUAAGCGAUGGUAGUUUUAGGCUUGGCUUAUCACCAUAUCCAACCCGAAUUCCGUAGUUCGAAAGGAGAAUUAGGCUACCUGAGACCAACUGAUUAUCCAAAACAUGAGACUGCUUUCUUAGCAAAGCUUUGCUUGGCUCAGCUUAGUCUCUAUCUCUAAUGGCUAGACCAAGACCCCUGGUCGGAUACUUUUAUUGACCUCUUGUUGUUUGCAAAAAAGCUAUCCAGAUUGCAAUAAGUCUUGUCAUCCUUGCAUGUUUUUGACCUGGCAUGCUUCUUGCUUUCUUUUCGUAAGAACCGGCGUUGAAGAGGAGUGUGAUGCCAGGGGAAGUCGACUCGGUUACCGGGUCUCUCCUGUGAGGGAUCGUUAUAUAGUUUUCAUCUGGUAGGUCUUCUUACUUAUGAUGCCUGGAACUUUAACUAGAACUGGGCAUUCCUCAACCGAAACAAUUAGAGAACUAGUUAUUCCCGCGGGACACGAACUUACAUGAAACUAAACUUUAAAAACAAGUUUACUUUUGUUAGAAAAUAGAAAAACCAACGGAAAAGAAAGUCUCAUGUUGCUCCUCAGAAAACGCGUGGAAUAGUCUCAUUGGCCCUCGUCGAUGGGACAAUCCAGUGUAUGUGUUACAAGGCAACUAGCAUUUAGUUCGUGAAAGAAUGUUUCGUUGGAAAAACCAACGCCGACGUCAAGAUCAGUCUCCUUUCUCUUUUCGGGAGCAGAGCUGAAAAAGAUGGGAAAUUCCAAUGAUUCUUCGUUUAUUAGAAUGUCGAUUCCUCACAAUCGCUCUUUGUGAUGCUGCGGAACCAUGGCAAUUAGGAUCUCAAGAUGCAGCAACACCUAUGAUGCAAGGAAUCAUUGACUUACAUCACGAUAUCUUUUUCUUCCUCAUUCUUAUUUUGGUUUUCGUAUCACAGAUGUUGGUUCGCGCUUUAUGGCAUUUCAACGAGCAAACUAAUCCAAUCCCACAAAGGAUUGUUCAUGCAACUACUAUCGAAAUUAUCCGGACCAUAUUUCCAAGUGUCAUUCUUUUGUUCAUUACUAUACCACCGUUUGCUCUGUUAUACUCAAUGGACGGGGUAUUAGUAGAUCCAGCGAUUACUAUCAAAGCUAUUGGACAUCAAUGGUAUCGGAGUGCGCCUCUUAACGAGGGUGAUUUAAGUGCAACGAAAUGUACCGGUGGUUCGCGAAGCAUCUGGCUUACCGGUCAUCUCCCAUUCCCGUCGUCGAGAGACUAAAAGAACUAUAGCAUGCCAGAAACGGGGAGUUGAGGUGGUUAGACCUAUACCCCGAAAUGCUCCCAGCAUAGGAGCCUAUGGUUCCAUUCUUGUUAUUGCUGGAGGUACACAUACCUCUUCUCGAUGUGGUGGAGCGAUAUACGAAAAAUAGAUGCUUAGCCUGCAAUGUCCGAUAACGGGGCUUCAGUAGUGAAUCUAUCGGCACCACAGCAGUGGCAUACAACCUUGGACCUAAGGGCUGGUCCCGUUACCUUUCGGAAUGGGGGAACCCCGUUGGCAACAACCACGGUAGUAGUUGCGGAACUACUGGGCCAAGAGAGGACAACCUGUUGUUCCUGCUCCUCCUUCUUCGCUUCGGGGACGGAGGUCCUACGGUAGGUAAGAGCACGCACAAGCACUUGACCGAAGGGGACCAGCGCUUCUACUCCUCCACCGAGGAGCCGUUCUUGCGAGAAGCAAGGGAUGACAUGAACGGUGGGAGGUCAAAGAAAGAGAAUUGACCUCUGAAUACAGUGAUCCUAUGAUCUAGAUAGACUCCGUCCUUUUUCUUUUAGAUAAGGGUGACUCAAUAAAUUGGGGGUGGGACCUACUAGCAUAAUGCAGGCUGGAACGUGGGAAUUCGAGGUCUCAUGAACGAGUUUUUUUUCGUGGACAAACAAACUUUCCGGUCUUUUUUAUGGAUCCUUUUAGAUCUAUGGGCCGGCCGUUCACAUGAGCAUAGGGAAUCUAUACUAGAGCCUUCGACUUGGCCCCUGGCAGGAUAGGUGAGGAAUCAGUCUUGAUCUGAUCUAUUGGGGCCUACAACUUCGCCAAAGCCGACUAGCAUCCCUUUCCGUGGUGAACUGGCCGUCCCAUACCUUCAUUUUGUCUCAUGUGUGUUGAACAUUGUCUUCCUCGGUUCCAGCUUCACUGAUGUAGGUAGGGCUGGGCGAGAAAGGGUCCCCUCUUGCCUAUUAGUAAGCGGGCCUUCGAUUCCACCGGGGUCUUACGGUCUCAUAGAGGGGGGAGAACUGCCUAACUAAAGAAGAAUAGUGCUCUUUAUAAAUAAGAGUAGGCGUGGAGAGCUUUUUGCGGGGAAACUUGCAAGUCAAGUUUGGGGGGAGGCGGGCGUCGACCCAACCUUAUGAGUAUUCGGACUAUAACAGUUCCGAUGAACAGUCACUCAGUUUUGACAGUUAUACGAUUCCAGAAGAUGAUCCAGAAUUGGGUCAAUCACCUUUAUUAGAAGUUGACAAUAGAGUGGUUGUACCAGCCAAAACUCAUCUACGUAUGAUUGUAACACCCGCUGAUGUACCUCAUAGUUGGGAUGUACCUUCCUCAGGUGUCAAAUGUGAUGUUGUACCUGGUCGUUCAAAUCUUACCUCCAUCUCGGUACAACGAGAAGGAGUUUACUAUGGUCAGUGCAGUGAGAUUCGUGGAACUAAUCAUGCCUUUACGCCUAUCGUCGUAGAAGCAGUGACUUUGAAAGAUUAUGCGGAUUGGGUAUCCAAUCAAUUAAUCCUCCAAACCAACUAAACCGGGGAAGCUGAAGCGGAAAUGCAAUUCUCGGGUGAGGGAAGGGGGAAGCUCCAGGAAGGCUUCGCUCGCUCACUCAAAAAGCUCUAACGCUCAUUUACGAGUGGAGUGCAUAAGCCCUUAUUGAAGUAGGGUGAGGCCUUACUACACGAGCUCGUAAGUCAAGCACGGAACGAACCUUGUCUACGAAGCUUCGCUUCAUCAUCUUGCUUGCUUCUGGCGAAGCUUAACGCACUAUAACAUAGGCAUGCAUGAUGGUAUGGUAGGAAGACUCCUUUUAAGGCCGACCACUACAUAGGAGCGAUAGGAAGCCAAGCCGUCAAAAGGAAAGGCGAGCAGCCCUUAUUGCAAUAGCAAACGGCCUACUUAUAGCCCUAUUUAUACCCUUUCUCGGGGACUUCAACGGGCCUUACAAGCUCAAUAAAUUGCAAUUCUUCACCUUUUCCUCAGACAGUGGGAAUGCAUUUUCUUACUUGAUUGACAUUGACAGAUAUGUGUACCACACCGAACAAGCAAUAUGUCAUAUGCUUGAUGUACCAGCCAAGCCAACUCUUUUUUUCUCAGUUCCCUUAUCCUUAGCGCAAAAGUAAAAAUAAAAUGAAAGAGAGUUUGUAUUUGCAAAUGAAAAUGAAUAUGGAUCUAAAUAAAUUAGAUAAUCAAUCAAUAAAUAAGAAUUGGAAUAGUAGAAAAAAUAUCCUUCGCCCCUUAUCUCUUCAUCGUCGUCGGUUCCGUCACUUGUGGUAUUCGUUUAGAAUCUUGUUGACCCUACUCGCUUACUCCUAUUUUCCUUAUUUCUUUUUCGACAUAAUUAAUUAGAACUUUCUUGAAAGAAUGGGGUUCUCUCUGGGGGGGGGCACCCUCUCUUCCUUUUUGAGAAAGAUGGGCUUGUUUUUUUUCAAUAAGUUCUAUUGCUUUGACACAUUUAGUAUAUAACAUAAUACAUAUAAGAAAAAAGUACUAAAGGCGAAGGGCAUUCUGUUGUACAGCUACUUUGGAUAGUUACAAAGGUAACCGGUAGGUGACUGUUGAAUCGAUAGUAGUUACGGAAGGGGGAAAUAGCUCAGUUGGUUAGAGUGCUGGUCUGUCAUGCCAGAAGUCGCGGGUUCGAACCCCGUUUUCCCCGCCCGAUCUUUCUUUCUUCCUGAGGUCAUACCUCUGCCACUUUACCCUGAGUUUCACUAAGGCAUAUAACCCCAUUCGGGUAAGAGGAUCAAGCAGUGGGGAACAUCUAUUUAUAUGCAUGUUAGCAUCAACAACAUCUUUUUCCAAGUCAAUUACAUCGAUCCUCGGUGCUAGGUACUCAGGUAAGUCUAUCCUGAGGAUAGAACUAGAGCAAGUAAGCUCAUCGGACUAUCAAGUCAGUCAGGAAUUAGCGUAUAGAAACGUAUGCGCAGGCGCAACAAAGCGCUCAUCCCUUGUUCUUUCGCUUGGAAGCUCAAUCCCCUCGCUUCUUCUUUCGCCUCUACGCUCGUGCUUUCAGCAAGUUCGUACCAGUCGUCAGUCAAGGAGGGAGCUCCAACCUCCGCGCCUAGCCGCAGCCUAAACGCUGGUUCUAUCCCGGCCAAGCAAGCAAGGGGAACCCCGGUGGGAAGAGGGAAAGAAAGAUCAGGGGAAGAAGCAGGGUAGAGGAAUUGGUCGACUCAUCAGGCUCAUGAUCUGAAGACAGCAGGUUCGAAUCCUGUCCCCGCCUCUGCACAAGGCUAUCCUUCGUUGCACACCUAAUGGAAAGCACUGGCUAGAUUUCCGAUGAAGGAAGCCGUCUACUAACCGGAAUACUACAGCAGAGGACAAAACUAGGGACUUCGAAAACGAGGAUAGUUUGCCAGGUAGGGAUACCGUUGUUCGAAUUGAAAAAAGAUACCUUUCCCCAGAGAGAUAGGAUUCGAUUAGGGAUACCGAUAAGGAAGGGGUCUGGUGCUCAGGGGAGUACUAGCUCCUGCGUUAGCCUCAAUCGAACCAUUCGCCAUUCCUAGUACUUUUUUUUAGGAGCCGGUGCCGAAACAGAGGUGGGAGCCGUAGAAGAUCCAAUGAACUGUUCCCUUAACAAAGAAAUCGAAGGAAGGGACAAGAUCAAAAAUAAUUUGAUCACAGACUUGGGGCUUUGUUGACACGGGGUUCGUCGGCCCGGCUUUCACUUGGAAAAAUAGGAGAUUGAGUUCCACAUUAGUGCAAGCCAGAUUAGACCGUGCUCUUGUGUCCCCUUCUUGGGAUUCUCUUUUUCAUUCGUAAAGACUCUUUACCUUGCUUUUGGAAUAGGUUCCCCCUCUGCUGUUUACCGGCGAUGUUUUGAUCCUCUUGAGUUGAAAGAGCAGCAGGGGCAAAUGCUUGUACAAGGUCAUCAACUCCUCGGGCAACAACGUCACCUGCUUUUUUAGGUUGCUUCAGAUAUAGAUGGGUAAGGUCUUUCAAAGGCUUUUGGGGAUGAAAAGGUUGGCUUCAAUAGUCUAUCUUGCCUUUCUAUUCUCUAGUGUAGGGUGACAACAGCAUUUUCAUUUUCUCUUUCCUAGAUCCAUUAGAUACUCGUCAUAAAUAGCGGCACGUUAGAACAUUAUCUACAUGUUUCCUUUUCUUGCUUCAUGGCACAUGCCUAUUGUAAAACAUACCUACCGGGAGAAAAGUACCAGUUUGUGAACAUGCCAUUCCCUUUCUUCGUGCACUCAUUUACUAGAUAGUCAGGAACCUUCUUUUGACUUGACCAGCUUACUUUACUAGUAGAGUAGUAGGCCUUUGCUUCUGAACGACCUUACAAAAUGUAUCAACUAGAAAUGAAUCGGUGUCAUAAACGAAUUUCGCUAACCGUAGUAGUAAAUAGCGUGACACCAAGCAAUCGAUCAAAGCCAACUCAAGUUGUAUGGAAGGUGGACGGUCGAAUUACCCAACUGAAAUGAAGAAAGCAAUCCGCAUAGCCGGAGUCCAGUUGGAUAGUUCAGGCUACGGAAGAAGACAUGAUGCCAUUUCUCUUAUCGAUACAGGAAAAUGAGCUAUUAGUAGAAACUACCUGGAAUUCCCGUGAACCAUCCGAGAGUAACCGCGCACCCGAGGUGUUCAAAGCCCCUUAGCAAUGGGAACGGAAUAGCGGAAAUUCCAUACGUUGAUCACCAAUGUUGCAUGUCUUUCCUUAAGCUGGAGUACUUUGAGUUAGAAGGCCUACUUUAUUCGUCCUUUUAAAGCCUACUUAUUCGUCUAGCUAUUUCCAAUUCUAAUAAAUAACCCGAUCAUAUCAUAUCUUGGAAAACCCUAAGACUACCCAAGGUUGUACCCUACAGUGUUACCUAUAGUCUAUACUUGUGUAUACGUUGCCUUCUGGCUCAGCAGGUAGCAACCAGAUCGAGAUUCCUCAUUUCAUCCCGAAGGAAAGCUCGGUGGAAUCACCUAUUUAUACCCUUGUUGGUUGCCCUUCCAAUCAGAAAAAGAACAAAAAAAGCGAGAAAACGUAUGCACAGGUUUCCUGUGCAACGGCUUUCGAGUAUAAUAAAUUAGGGAAAAUGAUGAUUCCCUCCAGCUAAAGAUCAUUCGCUCUUACCUCGUUCUGAGGGGGCACUACCCGGAACCGCUGAUCGAUACCAUCCACCUCUUGCAUUUUAAGCAUAUAGGCGCAUGGAAAGGACGGGAUAUGUCAUACAAAGAAAUUUGAAUCCAAUCACAGUCCUUGAUUCGCCGUAUCGUCUUGUGCAGACAGCAAUGGUGGCUAGUGUAAGUAGGGAUGACGGAUCUGACGUGAGUCUACCGAUUCUAAAAUGGUGAACCGGAUUGUUUUUUUUGAGGAAUCUUUAAAACAGUGACUUUUCUCUGCGCCAACCAGGGGCGGUAGUCCCACGUAUUUAUCUGUUAGAGCUUCGGUCAUGAUGUUCAAAGCUAUGCAAACCUCCACUCUAUGAUCAACAGUAGUAUUAGGACUAAAAUAGAUGCUUGAUUUACCGUCGCUUACCAGCUGGCCAGAUGAGGCGCAGUAAGAAUCAAGACAGUUCUUCAGACAGGCUGCAUUACUUGCAUCAGCCUUCAUCAAAAUGAGGGAGUCGUCAGCAAACAAGAGGUGUGACACCGAGGGGGCGUCCCGGCACACCUUCACUCCCAAAAGAUUAUUGUUCUCCUCAGCAUGAAGUAACAAGCUUGAGAGCCCCUAUGCACAUAAAGGAAAAAGUACGGACUGAGGGGGUCUCCUUUGCGAAGCCCUUUUGAGGGUACAAAACUAUCAGUUUCAUGGUCAUUAAACCGAACAAGGUACUUUACAGAUGAUACACAUUCCAUCAUCAAAGAAACCCAUCUUGGUGCAAACCCCAUCUUAAGCAUUAUUUCUUUCAGGAAGCACCAUUAAUCUCUGGUAAUAUUCCCGGUUGGCAAGCAUUUUGUUAAUCACCCUAUAAAUAACGUUACAUAGGCUUGUCUUUAUUGCGUUACCUUUUCUGCAUUCUCCACUUUUGGUAUCAGCAUGAUAACUGAGUCAUUCCAGCCCUCAGAUAUGUUUUGUGUUCACGGCCUGGAGUACUUCAGUCACUAAGUCAUUCUCAAGCAUCAGCCAGAAACGCUUGAAAAAUACAGCAUGAAGCCCGUCUGGUCCCGGGGCCCUCAAAUCCCCAAUAUUGAACAGUGAUUUCUUUAUUUCGUCUGCUGUGAAUGGAGCCAGGAGACUCUCAUUCAUCUGCUGCGUGACCCUCGCCCGCACCUUGUUAAUCGCAUCCGGGUCUGGAGCUAGGACCUCGGAGGUAAACAAAUGAGAGAAAUAGCCCUAAAUAUGUGCACCGAGUAAGUCAAUACCUUCUAUUCGAUCUCCAGUAUCGCUCAUCAAGUACUUGAUCAGAUUCCUCUUUUUUCUUGCAAUUGCAAAGUGGUGGAAAAAAUUUGUAUUUCGGUCACCAUGUCGUAGCCAAUUGGCUCCGCCCCGCUGGAGCCAUGCUACUUCUUCUUGUUCAAACAGGUUCUCGAGCAGCAGUCAAAUUGACUUCCCCUGCUUGAGCGUAAUGCCCGCCCCUGGUGUGGUGGAAAAAGCCUCGUUUUCUAUUCCUUUUAAAGCUGCUGAUGCGAGCUACCGAACAAACAAGAUUAGUACAAAAAGCCACAACUAGCACUAGCUUUCGUGAUUGCUUCUUUCUACCUUUCUCACUCCGGUAAUUGCUCCUUCUCCAAAAUAUCACUACGGACAAGAUGAGCUAAUAGAAAAAGUUAGGGCAACAGAUGAUAGCGACUCGCCAGACUCGAACUGGCAUAGGAGGAUCGGAUCAAACGAAAUUAGCCUUUCUUCCAUCAAUAGGAAUCGCUUUGAUUUCGCAGUUCAAGAGGAUGGCGGGGGCAACCUCUCUACAUCUGCGGGCCGGUAGGCCAGCCAACUAACUCUUCAAAUGAAGAACUUAUUUCCCCACAUCUAGGAACCUCUCAUUACCAGUCCUCGGGAUUCCGGAGGUUGGUCGGGUUCUCAAAGUCUUUCCACUCAGUCCAGAGGUUUUUCUGGUUCAUCGAAUCUAAUUUAUCCCAGUCAGGCCCGAUUCUCUGGGUCAAAGAAUCUCGUAUAUCCCCCCCGGGUAUAUCUUCCACUCUUAAAAGUUUUAAUUUGGCUUUAGGGAGGUCUAAAAUCCUUCUUUUCCAAAUUUCCCCCAAAUAAUGACUUUUACGUAAUUCCUCAUUACUUCGCAAACUUUUAAGGAUCUCCCUUAAGGUUUUUACAUCAUAUUCUUCUCCGUUUCCUUUUCAGAUGGCAUUGCCAGCACCAUCCGUAUUCCAAAGGAUGUGGCAAUUUUGAGGGCCAGAUUUAUCCAUUAGCUCCGCUAGUAUUGACGAUUUCUUAAUAUAAAUUAUCUCUACUAGUGUCAUAAGCUUCUCUUGGGAUAAUACCGAGGUUUUCCUAGUGGCAUCAAGAUGCACCAAAUUGAAAUAGAUUUGCUCUUUGCUAAGAGGUACAUGAAUGGUAGGAGAUACAUCCAUAUCCAUGGUUGGAGAUAAAUCCAUUGGUGGAUUCGAAGUACUUGGGCCUGUACCUCCAUAAUUUUCUAAUAUCGGUGGAGUCGAAGUACUUGGACCUGCACAUCCAUAAUUUUCUAAUAUUGGGUUAUGCAGACGACCAGGAAUUUUAUAAAACAUAUUAUUCUCCCCAAUUGCAUGUCUUGUCAUAUAGUCAAGAAAAUGAGCUUGGGAUUGAAAAUCGAGUUGCAAACUUAAAGGUAUAGCUGGCCCUUGUAUAGGUUGGAGCUCCGUGAACCCUUGUGGGGCUGGCGUCUCCUGAACUAUUUGAGCAGCCCCCCUUGUGGCUGGGGUAGACUCUCAGUAGUAUUGGUAAAGAAGGGUUGUGCUGCCGCUAAUAAUUCAAAGACAGCCGAAGAAACGGUUCUCAUGGGGUUCAGUCUCACAAGAGACACUUUUCUUCCUCGGGGUGAAGAGGUGGAGUGCAUGCCAGUGGACACCGUCUUAAAAGUGACUCUGCUAAGCGAUGGUGGCGUCUCUCUACUAAUCGCAUUCUGUUUAAGAAUCACUGUUCUCAUGAUCGAAUGACGAAAUAGAUAUACGAACUGUAUAGGAUCAUUCGCUGGGAUGGGAUAAGUGAUUCUUUUAUAGGAUUCUCAUGGGAUCGUAGAAUCAACUAAGGAUGGAAUAGGUAUUUGUGAUCGAUCAGCUUCCAGUAUGACCGAAGACUUUCUAUCUGCAUUCAAAAUAACCACACAAUCAGGUUGUUGGUUCAACCCAAAAUUGAUCUUCUUCUUUCUUGAACGGAAUUUUUUUUUAUUUGCAAAAGAAUUGGUCAAAAACGCCCCGAUCUUCCAUUGAGAAUCAUCGAAACAAUGAGAAUUCACAUUUCUUAAAUAGCUUCUUAAAUAGCUCGCCAUUUCUUCCGUUAUCUCAUAAAUAAAUAAAUGAUUGGUCUUUAAAAAGAAGGAACGGCCUUUUUGACGAAUGGGAGAUCUUAUAAAAUGAAGAGCGUUUCGUAAACAAAUCAGUGUCUUGUCUGAAUCGAGAAUAGCAAUUCCAUUUCUUGAACCACGGAUAUAGACUUUGAAAUGGUGAUCAGCUACCCGACGGCCGAGAUGUGCAUUCGUACAAAGUAAUUUAGUACAGACUAUCGAAAGCAUUGUCAUUUUGCGAUUUGAGUUCCGGAGAUACAGGUGGUAAGUUAUGGGUAAUGCGGGGAACUUUAAGACGAGAUAGGAUACCUAAUAUGGGAGUGGUUUAAGUGAGAGAAUAGCUCCCUUACCAAACCAACUGAGCUAUUUGCCAUGUUUUUGACAAAUGACCUAACUUUGAUGUGAUGUGCCCGGCUAGCCCGGAUCAUUCUUAGAGCAGUCGAGGUUACCGGAAUUACGGCCUUCCAUACAAGAACUGGCACUAUUGUAACUCGCUAUGGGCCUCCUGCCUUCUCGAAAGAAACUGGCUUUUGAAGAAAUUACUCUAUUUUACGCAUUUAGUUGAAGCGGAUUCAAAGAGCUCUAUCGAGCAAGGAAGGAGUAUACUAUACUGUAGCUGGAUAAGCUAGAUACCAAAACUUUGAUAAAGAUUGAGGCAACCCAUUUGAGGAAGAACCGUACGGACCCCUGUGGAGAUGGCUAGAACAAUCCUCGAUGAGGCACUUCGCAUGGUAUCUUGCUUGGCUACCCUGGACACUCGUCUGGAUAUCCUUCCAUGACAAUUAUGACCUUUAAAGGUAUCCAGAUAGUUACCAAAUUCACCUGAACUUUCAGAGUUGGAACUGAUUGGACAUAGUAGUAGGUACCAAAACUCCACAACAACAUUACAUUAACCAAUAUGUGGGCAGAUCCUUCUGUCCAAUUGAGAGUGCAUUGGAUAUAGAAGAAGCUGGACAAGUGAACUCGCUUUAAACCAACUAAAUGCAAUUGUACGGGAAUCAACUUCUCAUUUAUUGUCUUUUCAGUUGAUGAUCCACUUGGAUAUGCUCUUGUGGAGGACUUAAUGAUUAUUCGUUCGCCGGAACCAGAAGUAAAAAUUGUUGUGGAUAGGGAUACUGUAAAAACAUCUUUUGAGGAAUGGGCCAGACCCGACCAUUUCUCAAGAACACUAGCUAAGGGCCCUGAUACUACCACUUGGAUCUGGAACCUACAUGCCGAUGCUCACGAUUUCGAUAGUCAUACUGGUGAUUUGGAGGAGAUUUCUAGAAAAGUCUUUAGUGCUCAUUUCGGGCAACUUUCCAUUAUCUUUCUUUGGUUGAGUGGCAUGUACUUUCAUGGUGCCCGUUUUUCCAAUUAUGAAGCAUGGCUAAGUGAUCCUACUCACAUUGGACCCAGUGCUCAGGUAGUUUGGCCUAUAGUAGGGCAAGAAAUAGUGAAUGGUGAUGUAGGUGGGGGUUUCCGAGGAAUCCAAAUAACCUAAGGUUUUUUUCAGCUUUGGCGAGCAUCUGGAAUAACUAGUGAAUUACAACUCUAUUGUACUGCAAUUGGUGCAUUGAUUUUUGCAGCGUUAAUGCUUUUUGCUGGUUGGUUCCAUUAUCACAAAGCCGCUCCACAGUAGUGAAGUCUCAUCUUUUGUAUUGGCCGAAGUGACAAUAGUCACAUUGAACCCUCGAAUAUGCUCGAAGAUCUCGAAAUGAUCUUCCAGUUCCGGGGAGAAUUCGCAAAACUCCGUUUCCAUAAAGAAUUUGAUGGAGUUUUCCCGUAUUUCGACCGGAGAAUCUAACAUAGACAUUACUGUCAAGAUUCUUACCAAAAAAUGGUACAUUCCAUGCCCUCGGAGAACGCUUUGUCGUGCAAAGUCACUGGCAUAUCCAGUGUCUUUUUCGGACCCCAAGAAUGGAUUGGAUCGAAACGACUUUCCUGCUUGAAAAUAGGGGCCCCUUUGUGUCUGUAUGAAUCUCUGACCGCACAAAAUCUCCAUAGCCAAUUUUCCAAAUUGGAUUCUGAAAUCAGAGGAAGCUUUUGGUACUAAUCUUAUUUCAAACAAUCCACGAACUUCCAUAACAUUGGCGUGAUUCAGUUUGAGCAACAGAUCCUGACGUAAUACAUCUUCGUAAUGAAAAUGGAGUGGAAACAUCAUGGCUUUUCCGCUUUUUUUGAGAAUGAGCACUUUGAACUAUCCGCUUCAAAAAGGAUAGUUGAUCGAACCGAAACCAAUGUCAAGUACGAGUUAUUAAGCGCCGAAUCAAAAAAAGUGUACUUCCUUUACGCUUGAUGUAGGAUUUACCUAUUAAUAUGAAGUUCACUCUUCUGCUGACUUGAGUCCAGAAGGGAAGCGACUGAUUUCCAAUUCUUCUUUGCUAGCGCUUGACUCCUGUGGAAUUCCAUUAAAAAGCUUAAAAUAAAGCCUUUUAUUUGGUUUUUGAGAUACUAGUUAUUUAUAGGUUAAGUUCGAUAUUUCACUCCGUGGGCCGGCUAAUUAAUUCAAGUAAUUCCUGGAGGGGAAUCAAUCGAAGAGAUUGCCUGCCCAUGCUACAAUUCCUUACUCAAAAGGACUAGAGUGCUAAGCUACCCCCCCGGCACCACCACUAUAAUGAAUGGCUCAAACAAAUAGGAGAUGAGAAUAUAAUUGAUCCUUUCUAGAAUAGAGUAUAAAGAGAAGCUUGCCUUGAUAAAGCACAACCUUUCGCACUCCAGUAGGCAUAUAUUGUUACAAGGUUAUGUCCAAAGGUCUCACAAACGCCGGUGCUACAUAUCAACGCGCCAUGACUAAGAUCUUCGAUGAGAUAAUACAUAAGAUUGUCGAGUGCUAUGUAGAUGAUCUCGUUGUAAAGGCGGUAUCCUAUGAAGAACAUCUUCAACAUCUCAGAAUCGUAUUCGACCGCCUAAGGCAACAUGCACUCAAGUUAAACCCGUUGAAGUGCGCCUUCAUGGUCUCGUCAGGCAAAUUCAUAGGGUUUGUCAUUCGACAUCGGGGAAUAGAAAUCGACCCGAGUAAAAUCAAGGCCAUACUCGAAAUUCCUCCUCCUCAAAACCUUAAGGAGCUGCGUUCGCUUCAAGGGCGCCUGGCAUACAUCAGGCGAUUCAUAGCCAAUUUUGCAGGAAGAAUCCAACUCGAAUUAAGAUACCAACCAAGACUUCCCAUUCGCCGGGCGAGAUGAUCGGAUUUUGUUCCCCAUUUUCGAUAAGGUAUUAGUUUAGGUCUCUGCUGAGCCACUGAGCUAGAAGUGACUAUAGUUAUGGGUCUCGUCUCAAUGAAGCCAUCUUCUCCCCGAAAACUCUCUAUUUAGGAUCAAUGCCAUGUCCGAGUCAGUGUGGUUCCCCCGGCGCUGCUGUACUGACCAAGAGGUCUGAUUCAGUUGAAACACCCGAGUUAGCUAUUGAUAAAGGUCACUCAUUGAAAGGUCCAAAGAUACAAAUAAAUUAAGAUGUAGCUUUCUUAGUUUCAUACUUAUAGGAGGCGAUCCCUUGUUUUUUGACCCGGUAGAGCAAUCCGAAUUAGAUUUCAUAUAGGGAUCGUUCGUUUCUUCUCCACUUUACCCUGAUGUUUUAUGAGAAAUCAUUAUUUGUUUUUGUAUCACGCUGUUAUCUUUUUCGUUUCUUGAAAUAUCGAGUGAGAAUCUCAUUCAGCUUUUGAGGAUCCUCCAAAUUGUACUUAAGAUCAAUAAGGUCCCUAAGUGAUGUGGCGUCCUUUCCCUCGCAUUUCAUGAUUUGGUUGAUCCUAUCGGAAAAAAGCACAGUGGAAGGCAUCUGCCCCAGAGCCCUCAUGGGGGCACUUUGCUUAAAGUGUCUGAGUAGCAUUGAACCGAAAAUUUCAUUUUUAUCUAUUUGUUCGAUAACCGCCUUUCGAGCGUCAUCGUCGGAUGAUGGAUACUUUUGUCGUACUUCAUAGGUAUUUUCCCUUUUUAUCUUUUCCAAAAGGUUCACCCCGAAAUCUUGGUCCCGCUUUGCAUCUGUUUCAGCUAGGGAACAAGACUGGCUUUUGGAAGGUUUCCCUCCAUCUGUCGGAUCCAAGAGAGGGCCUGUGGUUGGGGUGGCGCCGCUCUCCUCCGAGCUGAAGGGAAUUUCUAUUAGGUCGUCCCGGGUACGCACUGAACUAAAGAAAAUUGGUUCUAUUAUCACAAAGCCGCUCCCAAAUUGGCCUGGUUCCAAGAUGUAGAAUCCAUGUUGAAUUACCACUUAGCGGGAUUAUUAGGACUUGGGUCUCUUUCUUUCUUUCUUGGGCGGGACACCAAAUUCAUGUAUCUUUACCAAUUAACCAAUUUCUUGACGCUGGGGUGGAUCCUAAAGAGAUACCACUUCCUCAUGAAUGUAUCUUGAAUCGGGACCUUUUGGCUCAACUUUAUCCUAGUUUUGCCGAAGGAGCAACCCCUUUUUUCACUUUAAAUUGGUCCAAAUACGCAGAAUUUCUGACUUUUCGCGGAGGACUAGAUCCAGUAACCGGUGGUCUCUGGCUGACCGAUAUUGCGCACCAUCAUUUAGCUAUUGCUAUUCUUUUCCUAAUCGCAGGUCAUAUGUAUAGGACCAACUGGGGUAUUGGCCAUGGACCUAAAGAUAUUUUGGAGGCUCACAAGGGCCCAUUUACAGGACAAGGCCAUAAGGGUCUUUAUGAAAUCUUAACAACGUCAUGGCAUGCUCAAUUAUCUCUUAACCUAGCUAUGCUAGGCUCUACAACCAUUGUUGUAGCUCAUCAUAUGUAUUCUAUGCCUCCCUAUCCAUACCUAGCUACUGACUAUGGUACACAACUUUCCUUGUUCACACACCACAUGUGGAUUGGCGGAUUUCUAAUAGUCGGUGCUGCUGCACAUGCAACAAUUUUUAUGGUAAGAGACUAUGAUCCAACUACUCGAUACAACGAUCUAUUAGAUCGCGUCCUUAGACACCGCGAUGCAAUCAUAUCCCACCUUAACUGGGUAUGUAUAUUUCUAGGUUUUUACAGUUUUGGCUUGUACAUUCAUAAUGAUACCAUGAGUGCUUUAGGCCGUCCACAAGAUAUGUUUUCGGAUACCGCCAUACAAUUACAACCUAUCUUUUCUCAAUGGGUACAAAAUAUCCAUGCUACUGCGCCUGGCGUAACAGCUCCUGGUGCAACAACAACUACUAGCUUAACGUGGGGAGGCGGCGAGUUAGUAGCAGUAGGUGGCAAAGUGGCUUUGUUACCUAUUCCAUUAGGAACCGCGGAUUUUUUAGUCCAUCACAUUCAUGCAUUUACCAUACAUGUGACUGUAUUAAUACUUUUGAAAGGUGUUUUAUUUGCUCGGAGUUCCCGUUUGAUACCCGAUAAAGCAAAUCUAGGUUUUCGCUUUCCUUGCGAUGGGCCUGGCCGAGGGGGAACAUGUCAAGUAUCUGCCUGAGAUCAUGUUUUCUUAGGUUUAUUCUCGAUGUACAAUGCAAUUUCGGUAGUCAUUUUCCAUUUCAGUUGGAAAAUGCAGUCGGAUGUUUGGGGUACCAUAAGUGAUCAAGGGGUGGUAACUCAUAUUACAGGGGGAAACUUUGCACAGUGUUCCAUUACGAUUAAUGGGUGGCUUCGAGAUUUCUUGUGGGCACAGGCAUCGCAAGUCAUUCAGUCUUAUGGUUCUUCAUUAUCUGCAUAUGGUAUUUUUUCUUAGGUGCUCAUUUUGUCUGGGCCUUCAGUUUAAUGUUUUUAUUCAGCGGCCGUGGUUAUUGGCAAGAACUCAUUGAAUCUAUCGUUUGGGCUCAUAACAAAUUAAAAGUUGCUCCUGCUACUCAGCCUAGAGCCUUGAGCAUUAUACAAGGACGUGAUGUAGGAGUAACCCAUUACCUUCUGGGUGGAAUUGCCAUGACAUGGGCAUUCUUCUUAGCGAGAAUUAUUGCAGUAGGAUAGUGGCUAGGAGGAUUUGAAAGGCAUUAUGGAAUUAAGAUUUCCCAGGUUUAGCCAAGGCUUAGCUCAGGGCCCCACUACUCGUCGUAUUUGGUUUGGUAUUGCUACCGCACAUGAUUUCGAAAGUCAUGAUGAUAUUACUGAAGAACGUCUUUAUCAGAACAUUUUUGCUUCUCACUUUGGGCAAUUAGCAAUAAUCUUUCUAUGGACGUCCGGAAAUCUGUUUCAUGUAGCUUGGCAAGGAAAUUUGGAAUCAUGUAUACAGGAUCCUUUACACGUAAGACCUAUUGCUCAUGCGAUUUGGGAUCCUCAUUUUGGUCAACCCGCUGUGGAAGCCUUUACUCGAGGAGGUGCUGCUGGUCCAGUGAAUAUUGCUUAUUCUGGAGUUUAUCAGUGGUGGUAUACAAUAGGAUUACGCACCAAUGAAGAUCUUUAUACUGGAGCUCUUUUUCUAUUAUUUCUUUCUGCGCUGUCCUUAAUAGCGGGUUGGUUACAUCUACAACCCAAAUGGAAACCAAGCCUUUCGUGGUUCAAAAACGCGGAAUCUCGUCUCAAUCAUCAUUUGUCAGGACUUUUCGUGGUAAUUUCUUUGGCUUGGACAGGACAUUUAGUUCAUGUUGCUAUUCCCGCAUCCAGGGGGAGUACGUUCGAUGGAAUAAUUUAUUAGAUGUAUUACCCUAUCCCCAGGGGUUGGGACCCCUUUUGACGGGUCAGUGGAAUCUUUAUGCCCAAAACCCUGAUUCGAGUAAUCAUUUAUUUGGUACCGCUCAAGGAGCGGGAACUACCAUUCUAACUCUUCUUGGGGGAUUCCAUCCACAAACACAAAGUUUGUGGCUGACUGAUAUGGCUCACCAUCAUUUAGCUAUUGCAUUUAUUUUUCUCAUUGUCGGUCACAUGUAUCGAACUAACUUCGGAAUUGGGCACAGUAUUAAAGAUCUUUUAGAAGCGCAUACUUCUCCGGGGGGUCGAUUAGGGCGUGGGCAUAAGGGCCUUUAUGACACAAUCAACAAUUUGAUUCAUUUUCAGUUAGGUCUUGCUCUAGCUUCUUUAGGGGUUAUUACUUCCUUAGUAGCUCAACAUAUGUACUCUUUACCUCCUUAUGCAUUCAUAGCACAAGACUUUACUACUCAAGCUGCUUUAUAUACUCAUCACCAAUAUAUCGCGGGGUUCAUCAUGACAGGGGCUUUUGCUCAUGGAGCAAUUUUUUUCAUUAGGGAUUACAAUCCGGAACAGAAUGAGGAUAAUGUAUUGGCAAGAAUGUUAGACCAUAAAGAAGCUAUCAUAUCUCAUUUAAGUUGGGCUAGCCUCUUUCUAGGAUUCCAUACCUUGGGCCUUUAUGUUCAUAACGACGUCAUGCUUGCUUUUGGUACUCCAGAAAAGCAAAUCUUGAUCGAACCUAUAUUUGCCCAAUGGAUACAAUCUGCUCAUGGCAAGACGACAUAUGGGUUGGAUAUACUCUUAUCGUCAACGAAUGGCCCCUCUUUCAAUGCGGGUCGAAGCCUAUGGUUGCCCGGAUGGUUGAAUGAUGUUAAUGAGAAUAGUAAUUCGCUUUUCUUAACAAUAGGACCAGGGGAUUUCUUGAUUCAUCAUGCUAUUGCUCUAGGUUUGCAUACAACUACAUUGAUUUUAGUAAAGGGCGCUUUAGAUGCACGCGGUUCCAAAUUAAUGCCGGAUAAAAAGGAUUUUGGGUAUAGUUUUCCUUGUGACGGCCCAGGGCGCGGCGGUACUUGUGAUAUUUCUGCUUGGGACGCAUUUUAUUUGGUAGUUUUGUGGAUGUUAAAUACAAUUGGGUGGGUUACAUUUUAUUGGCAUUAGAAACAUAUCACAUUAUGGCAGGGCAACGUUUCACAAUUUAAUGAAUCCUCCACUUAUUUGAUGGGAUGGUUAAGAGAUUACCUAUGGUUAAACUCUUCACAACUUAUCAAUGGAUAUAAUCCUUUUGGGAUGAAUAGUUUAUCGGUAUGGGCGUGGAUGUUCUUAUUUGGACAUCUUGUUUGGGCUACUGGAUUUAUGUUCUUAAUUUCCUGGCGGAGGUAUUGGCAGGAAUUAAUUGAGACUUUAGCAUGGGCUCAUGAACGCACACCUUUAGCUAAUUUAAUUCGCUGGAGAGAUAAGCCCGUGGCUCUUUCCAUUGUGCAAGCAAGAUUGGUUGGAUUAGCUCACUUUUCCUUGGGUUAUAUAUUCACUUAUGCAGCUUUCUUGAUUGCCUCAACAUCAGGCACGUUUGGUUAAUUUAGUUUGUUUUUUGUACUGUAUCAGCACCUAGUUCAUUACUCUUGAUAGAGAGGGAGGAUCCGCCUUCUUAGAUUUCUUUUUCUAUUUAUUUUUCCAUCUAGGAUUAGAACCGUAUACUUGGUAAUAAUAGCAACGACACAUUAUGGCAAAAAAAAGUUUGAUUCAGAGGGAGAAGAAGCGGAAGAAAUUAGAGCAGAAAUAUCAAUUGAUUCAUCAAUCUUUAAAAAAAAGAUAAGAAGCAAAGUUUCUCCCUUGAGUUUGAGUGAAAAAACGAAAAUUCGAGAAAAAUUGCAAUCCCUACCGCGUAAUAGUGCACCUACACGCCUUCAUCGACGUUGUUUUUUGACCGGAAGACCUAGAGCUAACUAUCGACAUUUUGGGCUAUCCGGACACGUACUUCGAGAAAUGGUUUAUGAAUGUUUGUUAGCGGGUGCAACAAGAUCCAGUUGGUAAGGAUAAAAUACCCUUUCGUAUUUGUAUGGAUUUCUGGAAUUGAUAAUCAUAGAGGAGCCCUCUUUACCAUUCUGUAUAAAUGGACUAUUCUAUUUGUAUAGAUAUGGUAGAGGGGCGUAUCCAACCCUCUUUUAUCCAGUAGUUACCCCUCUUUAGUUUAAGAGUAUAGAGCAGUUUGGUAGCUCAUAAGGCUCAUAACCUUGGGGUUGCGGGUUCGAUUCCCACUACCGGCUCCAUACUCCUUCUUUAUGAUAUAUGCAUGAUAUAUACAUCAUCCAUUUGUAUCUGGAUUUUUAGAUUUCCUAAAAGAGUUUUGGUCUAACAGUUUUUUCUCGGAAGAAGACAAAAAAUAAAAGAAGAAAAAAAUAUGAAAGAAAAGCGUCCAUUGUCUAAUGGAUAGGACAGAGGUCUUCUAAACCUUUGGUAUAGGUUCAAAUCCUAUUGGACGCAAUCUUAUUUCUAUCUAUUCUUUAAAUAACUAUACUAAACUGAAAACAAAGAAAACUUUUUUGCAUGAUUCAAAUGAAAAAUCUUUCUCAACGAUUCCUGUUCUACUAACAAGAGUAGACAUGCAAAAUAACAAGAGUAGACAUGCAAAAUUUAUUUGUUACUGAAGAGAAAACCGUUCCAGCUGUUCCUGAAUAGCUUCCUUCAAAAGGAUUUCCGCUUGCUCGGUGAAUGUCUUGCUAGAAGAUAGAAUUUAUUGGAAUUGAGGUUUAGUAUCUUUUAGGUGUUUACGUAACUCAUCCAGAAAUUUCUUUACCUGUUCAAUUUCUAACGAAUCAAGAUAUCCUCUUGUUCCGGUAUAAAUAGUAGCUAACCGCUCUUCCACUGGGAGAGGAUUUCCUGGGAUUGUUUAAGCAAUUCCCUUAAUUGUCGACCUCUUGCCAAUUGAUUCUGACUUGUUUUAUCGAGAGCAGAGGCGAAUUGUGCAAAGGCUUGUAACUCUGCAAAUUGAGCUAGUUCCAAUUUUGAUUUGCCAGCUACUUGUUUCAUGGAUUUAAUUUGAGCCGCGGAUCCUACUCUGGAAACAGAAAUACCCACAUUAAUAGCGGGUCGAAUUCCGGCAUUGAAUAGAUCCGCAGAUAAGAAUAUUUGUCCAUCUGUAAUGGAGAUUAUAUUAGUAGGAAUAUAGGCGGAAACGUCUCCAGAUUGAGUCUCAAUUAUUGGUAAAGCGGUCAUACUUCCUUCGCCUAAAAGAGAAUUUAAUUUAGCGGCUCUUUCUAAAAGGCGUGAAUGCAAAUAAAAAACAUCCCCUGGAUAAGCCUCACGGCCGGGAGGUCUUCUUAAUAGAAGGGACAUUUGGCGAUAAGCUUGUGCCUGUUUGGAGAGAUCAUCAUAAAUUAUUAAAGUAUGCCGUUCGCGUUACAUAAAAUACUCAGCCAGGGUUGCUCCCGUAUAAGGAGCGAGGUAUUGUAAUGUAGCAGGUGAAUCCGCCAUUUCAGCUACUACAAUAGUGUAUUCCAUGGCCCCCUCCUCAUGGAAAGUAGUUACUACUUGAGCUACGGAGGAUGCUCUUUGACCGAUAGCUACAUAAACACAUAUUACACCUUGCCCUUUUUGAUUUCGAAUUGUAUAUGUGGCUACUGCUGUUUUUCCAGUCUGUCUGUCCUCAAUAAUGAACUCUCGCUGACCGCGCCCUAUAGGGAUCAUCGAAUCGAUAGCAAUUCUAAAUGUUUGAAGGGGUUCAUAUACAGAACGCCUGGAAAUUCUACCUGGCGCAGGAGAUUCAAUUAAGCGAGAUUCCGAAGCUACAAUUUCGCCUCUCCCAUCAAUAGGUUUAGCCAGAGCAUUUAUAACACGACCCAAGUUAUAUACGCUCACGGGUAUCUGAGAAAUUCUUCCUGUUGCUUUUACAAAACUUCCCUCUUGAUGCUAAACCAUAGCUCUAACUGAGUCAACUUCCACAAUUUCUAAGAACGAUAUGCUUUUUUGCAUUUUCCACUGUGAAAGCUUCUCUCAAUCCCUCCCUAGUCCUUUCUUUCCUGGGCACAGGCUUACCUGGUUGACCGCCCACAUUCAUUCAUUGUUCGUUCUGUUGUGGAAUCGAACCACAGAGCUAGCGCAAUUGGGAUUUAGAGUCCCAUGCAUGAAACUAAAGAGGAUUUUCAGUCCUCUGCUCUACUAGCCAGAACCUAGAAGGACACUUCACACCCGAUUUGACACAGCUAGACUGGAAACACUGCUUGUCAAGAGCACAGACCCCAGUAUAGAAUACUUUUUUGAGUAUGUUGGUAAGGUCCGGUCAUCCGCUUCUGUGCUUGCACUUCUGCGUAACUAGGGGUGCAAGUCCAGUACAGCGUACUUUCAUAAUUGAAUCAAAAGCGUCGAUACAUGAAAAAUCUCUAUAUACGAUAUUUAUGACACAGAAUGUUGUUCUUUCAACAUGAUUCCUCAACAAUUUUUUCAUUGUAACUGACUCUCCGUUCUCUCCGUUCCACUUUGGUUUUCGACUAAUAAUUACCCUAAUGAAUUUCUCUUACUGCUUGGUUCCGCAUUGGAUUUUGGAAACUUUUGUUUAGAAAGUGGUGUCACGACCGUGGGGAUAAAAUGGAUGGUUCAGGAAAGUCUAGUGAAGCGGCACGGUCUAAUCAUAUAGAUGACCAUAGUGGUAUGGUUCCAUAGAAAACUACUGGAGGCCAUUACCGCCACCGAAAUGGUUUGCAUGCUCCGUUGGAUGAUUUGACGAUAUCGCAGUAUCAAGCUAGAACGGUUUCAAUUUGUAGGACGGGAAAGAAACCUCAUCCUUUGGUGCACACUAACCGAUGAAGCUCAACCCUCUCUCGAAUUGAGCUAUUUCCGCUUUUUCUAACAAAAAGUUCGAGUAGUUCACUGAAAAAACGGUCAAGCUUUCUUCCAUCCUUCCUAGCUCCUCGAGCUUGCACCCGCUCGACGCCUUUUUCAUUGUUCGUUCUGAGGUGGAUUUGAACCACUCUCUCCGUUUGGAUUUCGAGUCCAAAAGGCCCGGCGAAAGAGGAUUUUCAGUCCUAUGCCCGCUGCCAGCCAGAACCAAUAUUUCUCUGUUAUAUUGUGUUUUUUCUUUGUCAGCUAGCACAAUUUGGAUUUCGAGUCCAAUGCGCUAACGAUUUCUUUAGUUUUCUUGCUCUUUCUCCGGGCUUUGACCAUGUCUCCCGAACAAUUUCAGUACAUAUGGCGCAAGACGAUUCCACAUAUAUAUCGAGGUCGGAAUGGGAUCGGGUGUUUUCACGUCUCACCGUAGUGCCCGGUUUGUCUUGAUUGGUGAUUGAUAAACAAGAAGGAAAAUAGAAAAGUAGAAAAUCUACAUGUUUAUACCGUUGAGGUCCUUAGUUUAGUCAAGUAGGCGAGGGCAUUUCCAUCGCGAAGGAUUCAAUCCAGCCACAGGUUCCCCUACGGCUACCUUGUUACGACUUCACCCUGUCGAAGACCCCACAGUGGUAUGCGCCAAUAAGACCACCAAAGGCCUUUGUGGCACUAGUGGUACACAGAAGUCAUGGGUGAUCAUUGGUCCGAUGCUUCGGGCGANNNNNNNNNNNNNNNNNNNNNNNNNNNNNNNNNNNNNNNNNNNNNNNNNNNNNNNNNNNNNNNNNNNNNNNNNNNNNNNNNNNNNNNNNNNNNNNNNNNNGCGGCACACACCUUUUUCUUUGUUUCGGAGCGGGGCACAUACUAUUACCACUACGUACCACACCACCGGGCGGCUGGCCUUCAUGCCGAGUCUUCCUCCGUCGCCAACUCGACGUCGUCGUAACCAAUUUCAACCAAACCUCCAUGCUCACUGGUACUUUGACGUCACUAUAGGUAGGUCUCCGUGGGUCUUGGGCAGGACGACUUCGGUUCACACGUGAAAGUGCUUCGAAAGGCACCGGCUCCCAAUGGUGAAAUUCUUGCUGAAAGCACAGCUACGUGCUGGCACUCAAUCAAGUAGUAGCGCUGGCACGUCACUCGGCUCCUCGGCUCACUUCGGUGGCAAUUUCUCCUUAGGCGCAUGUCUCAGCAACACAAAACGAGGGUUUCGCUCGUUAUAGGACUUGACCAAACAUCUCACGACACGAGCUGACGACAGCCAUGCAGCACCUGUAUGAAAGUCAGUACCAUCCUGUUAAGGACAGGUUUUGUUGUUCAUAUGUCAAGGGCUGGAAAGGUUUUGCGCAUUGUAUCGAAUUAAACCACAUGCUCCGUCGCUUGUGCAGGCCCCCGUCAAUUCCUUUGAGUUUCGGUCUUGCGACCGGACUCCCCAGGCGGAGUGUUUCACGCGUUAGUUGGGCCCCUGAUCCGCGUAGACCAAGGGCGAACACUCAUGUUA